GCCAAAGUGCGAAUCACAGUCAACGCAAGUAUCGUCUCAACGCCAAUUUCUACACCACCUCCUGACUUUGCAUUGAUUAGCGCUGGAACCGACGCUCGUUUCGCGAUGAUAAAUCUGGACGUGUGCGCCGAUUUUGGCGUACGCAAGGUUUUCUUGCGCCGCAAGCGUUGAUACAUAAGGCCCCAGGUCAUCUGCCGCAGCACUCCAUCACUCUCCUUCUUGGUCAAAUAGCCCUUACACAGCCUGGAGGUGUGUUUGGGGUCAUUGUCCUGUUGAAAAAUAAAUGAUCGUCCAACUAAACUCAAACUGGAUGGGAUGGCAUGUUGCUGCAGGAUGCUGUUGUAGCCCUGCUGGUUCAGUGUACCUUUAGUUUUGAAUAAAUCCCCAACAGUGUCACCAGCAAAACACCCCCACACCAUCACACCUCCUCCUGCAUGCUUCACAGUGGGAACCAGGCAUGUAGAAUCCAUCUGUUCACCUUUUCUGCGUCUCACAAAGACACGGCGGUUGGAACCAAAGAUCUAAAAUUUGGACUCAUCAGACCGAAGCACAGAUUUCCACCAGUUUAAUGUCCAUUACUUGUGUUUCUUGGCCCAAACAAAUCUCUUCUGUUUGUUGCCUCUCCUUAUCAGUGGUUUCCUAGCAGCUAUUUGACCAUGAAGGCCUGAUUUGCGCAGUCUCCUCUUAACAGUUGUUCUAGAGAUGGGUCUGUGGCUAGAACUCUCUGUGGCAUUCGUCUGGUCUCUGAUCUGAGCUGCUGUUAACUUGCGAUUUCUGAGGCUGGUGACUCAGAUGAACUUAUCUUCAGAAGCAGAGGUGACUCUUGGGGCUCUAUUUUUGUUCCUCGCCAGCGACAUGCUGUAGGCGCGGCAUAAUUCAGGUCUGCCGCACCGACAAGUAGUGCCCAAGCACAUUUUGGUAUUUUGGUGAGCAGUGCAGCCUGGCGUAAGUAUCCCCCCUCCCUAACUCAGCUCCUCCCAACGGCAUAAGUCGUAAAGAGGGUGUGGAGUGGGUUAAACAUAGCCGAGACCUGUUUUCGCCAAUCGGAACCACUCCUCUCUUCACCUUUAAAUCCGCCACUGGCGAGGGGUAAUACAAUUUUCGUGAAGUAGUCAAAGAGAUCAAGAGAUGUCUGAAGACAGCAAUGCCACACGAUGGCGACAGAAGGCACUGUAAGCGCUGCAUUGGGCAUCCUGCACGCUCUCUCAUAUAAGCACAGAUGGAUUUGGUUUGUGUAAUGUUGAGCCAAUGGUAAGACAAACACCCUUUUCCACAAAUAAAGACACUCACAUAAAGUUGCAUCUAUUUAAACCUCACAUGACGAAGGUGAGUUGUGUGCACAGAUCACAACAUAAACUCCAAAAAUGGCAUUAAAAUCAGAACCAUCUGUGCAUAAAUGACGCAUCACGUUCCGUGGCCUGGCUCUUUCUUUUAUAGAUGUUGGCAUAUAAAAUAAAUUUGGCUCACAAAACUGAAUAUUAUCAUAUUCGUAUGUAGGCUUCAAGUAAUAACUCAUCUGAGCACUGAAACAAAUCAUCUGUUCAGUCGCAGCAGCAACAGUACGGGGAGAGGACACAGAGACAUGUCCAGGUCGAGCUGCGCAAGAAAUAAGAGGAAGAGGAAGAUAGACAUUUAGGGGAGACAAAUUAAAUAUCUUGUUAACUUCAUCAUGUGUGUCUAUUUACUAGAUAUUUAAUUUAAUCUAAUGCGGUUUCAGCUGUGUUGAUUCGGUCAGGUUGUGUGUCCAAACGCGUGCCAAACACACUCUUUAGGUCAGAUAUAGAUCGGAAUAUAUCUAUAUAGAUCUAAAUGUAUGUGCUGACUCAGAUUAUUUGUUGAUGUUGAUUAUUUAUUGCACUGAAAUGUGCCUGAAACUGUGGAAACCUGCCGCUGAGGCAUCUGUGACGUAAGCGCGCUACGCCUACCGGUCUGCAAAAAUACCACUAGACCAGCUGCGCUCUGCCUGCGCUGAAAGCUGACUGGGUUUGAAUCGGCGAGCUUUCAGGGCACUUACUAAGCCGCCGGCGGGCACAAAAAUGUCAGUGCGCCAGCUGAUUCUGUCGACACCUCCCUCUGCCACGCCACCACACCCAGCUUGGCAGACCUUGGUGCACCUCAGUCUACGAAAAACCAAACUGGCUGUACACCAGGCUCCGCCAGACAAAAAUACUACUGGACAGGGUCUGCCACCCUCCGCCGCGUCGCCAGCUCACACAAAAAUAGAGCCCUUGGUGUUCCUUUCCUGGGUCGGUCUUCAUGAGUGCCGGUUUCAUUGUAGCGGUUGAUGGUUUUUGCGACUCCACUUGGGGACACAUUUAAAGUUUUUGCAAUUUUCUGAACUGACUGAUCUUCAUUUCUUUAAGUAAUGAUGGCCACUUGUUUUCUUUAGAUAGCUGAUUGGUUCUUGCCAUAAUAUGAAUUUUAACAGUUGUCUAAUAGGGCUGUUGGCUGUGUAUUAACCUGACUUCUGCACAACACAACUGAUGGUCCCAAUCCCAUUGAUAACGCAAGAAAUUCCACUAAUUACCCUGAAAAGGCACACCUGUGAAGUGAAAACCAUUUCAGGUUGUCUACCUCUUGAAGCUCAUCGAGAGAAUCCCAAGAGUGUGCUAUGCAGUAAUCAGAGCGAAGGGUGGCUAUUUUGAAGUAACUAGAAUAUGAAACAUGUUUUCAGUUAUUUCACCUUUUUUUGUUAAGUACAUAACUCCACAUGGGUUUAUUCAUGAAUGUAUACACUACCCUUCGCAACCAGGUCAGCUCCUCCUCUCCCCUCCCUCUCUGCUCCAACAAGCCCCGCCCACAAACAGAUGCUCGUGCUUGCUCAUAUUGUUCAUAUAAUGUAGAUAAAUACUUCAGAUGAUUGCAAAUGGGGUACAGUCAACAUGAAAGUAAAAAGCAUUGGUACUACUGUAGAUGCCAACAGACUACCAGCAAACACAAUGUUUGCAGGACAACUAGCAUGAAGUGACACCUUGGGUCAGGGGAGCAGUGGUGGAGGAGUUGCCGUUUAUGUUGAUGAAUUGUUGGCGAUUUUUGAGGUAUGAUUUAAACCAGGAGAGGGCAGUGCCAGUGAUGUAGAUUAAGUCAUGAAGACGGGAGAGGAGGAUGGAGUGGUGGAUGGUGUCAAAGGCAGCUGUGAGGUCCAGGAGAAUCAGGAUGCUAUGUUUGGGAUGGAACCGGAUUGGAAGACUUCAGACCCACUUCAACUCCAACAGCCUCUUUGAAGUUGAGAGGCAACAGCACGUUCUAAGGGGGUGUUCAGACCAAACGCGACGUCGGCAACGGCUCCCAAUGCAAAGUCUAUAGACAGCCGCGACCUGACGCGACUUGGUGACCGCCGGCUGCCUGCGAUGCGACCUGACGCGACUUGGCGACCAGGUCGCGCAUGGUCGCCAAGACGCGUCGCCGAGGUCGCGUCGUCGAGGUCGCAGGACGCCAAGUCGCGUCGCUCCCAAAGUUCAAAUAUUUGAACUGUGCCUCCUGAGGCCGGCCGGUCAAUGGCAUUGGAGGAGGCCAAGGCUUCGGCCGCCGGGCUGCCCAUGGUUCCGGGAGAUCCUUCGGUUGCCUGGGAAGGAGCUACGGUGGUUUCGUCAGCUGGCAGGUUGGAUGAGGAGGCCGCCUUGCUGCCGGUCGGUGUCUGGACCGGGCUGUCAGCUUCAUUGAUGGUGGCCUGGGCCGGGUUUGUGAGCCGGGAUAUGGGCAGCUGGAGAAAGGUCGUGGAGCUGCUGGGAAAGGCCGGGCGGGGUGGGGAGACACCAUGGGCAUUUUGUUUUUCGUUUUUACCACAGAUUACAACCUCGGACCACGUUGGACGUGCAGUAGUAGAGGUGGAUGAAGGCCAGGGGCUGUUGGGGUCCCAAGGUAGCAUAUCGUGGAGGGAAGCCUGGAGAGAGACGAGGUGGCGGGUCUGCUUGAAGGCGACACCCAUGCAGGCGGUGAGUAGAGCUGAUUUGGCUUUCAGUUCAGCAGACAAUCUGCAAAUAUCCUCUUUGAGACAAGUGUUUGUGGCAUUUGCCUUGUCCAGUUCAGAUGUAUGGAGGGGGAACGUGGAGGUGGAAGAAGCCAUGAUGGUGGUAGAGUUUAAACAACUGAGUAGGCCCAGUAGUUUUCCUCGGUGGCGGCUCUCCGGUGUCCUCAAGGUCUCCUUCCUCCAUUUGCAACCUUGGACUCAUCUUUGAUACCCACCUCACUUUUGAACAACACAUCAAACAGGUCACUAAAUCAGCCUUUUUUCACCUCAAAAACAUUGCCUGUCUUCGCCCAUCUCUCUCCCUCCCUGCAGCAGAAACCCUGGUCCACGCCUUCAUCACCUCAAGGUUAGAUUACUGCAACAGCCUCCUGUAUGGUCUACCCUCCAAACUCCUUAACAAACUACAGAUAGUCCAGAAUUCUGCCGCCCGCCUCCUCACCCACACCCACUCACGAGACCACAUCACCCCUGGCCUCCUCCGUCUACACUGGCUCCCCAUCAAGCAACGCAUCACGUUCAAGAUCCUCCUUCUCACCCACAAAACCCUUCAUCAUCAAGCCCCUUCUUAUCUCACCGACCUGCUCCAGCCUCAUGCAUCCCUCCGUAACCUCCGAUCCUCCUCUGCCCAUCUCCUCACCCCAAAAUCAUGGCCCAAGCACCGAACCUGGGGGGAUCGGGCAUUCUCCACACCUGCCCCUACCCUCUGGAACUCCCUACCACCCUCCAUCAGACACUGCCCUGACCCCACUACCUUCAAAACCCUUUUAAAAACUCACUUAUUUAAAAUUGCUUCUAAUAUUUAACUGUUUUAUUUUACUGUUUUCAUGUCUCUGUUUUAUUAUCUUGGGUUUUACGUUCUAUGUAAAGUGGCUUCAAGUGUUUUUAAAAGUGCUGUACAAACAAAAUGAAUUAUUAAAAAAAAAAAAAUGAUACUCCAAGACCCGAGGUAAACAGUUUAGGUGCGCUACAACACGCAGCAGGUCUCGUUCGACAAGAAACACUUUUGUUACACUUGGCUUACUUUGUUAAAGCGGUUUACCUGUCCAGUAGAAAGGUUACAGGGUCUGUAAGAUCCUGAGGUGUCCCCUAUCGUUUAUGCUGAUGUUGCUGAUCUUAGCUCUUGUCAGUCUACCUAUGUUUUAAGCGCCCGUUAUUCCUCUAGAGUCUCCAGUAUUUACUUUGUUUUAUUGCUUGUGUUUUCCGUACUGUCCAAUGUUGUGGCACACAAACUUUUUUUGGGCUCAUGCAUGUAGUCUUAGGACAUGGAGCAUGCCUCACAACAUGAGGAAGCAGCAUCUGUCUCACAACCAAUCAGGUUGGGGGAGGUGGAGAAUGGCUUUAUUUACAGUCAGAGAGAGCGGGCCGCUCAAAAGUUUUAAAAUGUUGACUACAAAGACAUAACAAAACACAGCGAUAUUGUUAUAUAACCAAAUGUCAUCAACAACUAAUAGCUAUUGACUGAGAUUAAAAGCUUUCUGUAUAUACACCACAGAAAAAGACAUUUCUUUAACAGAUUCCUGCCUACCCCACCUUGAAGUUAUUUUGAGUGCCAUCACAAUACUGCAGCAUGGUUACCUGAUUCCCCAUACUCUAGGGUGGUAGUGCAUUAUCACAGAAUGUGCAUGUGUUAAUCAUGCAUCAAGAAAUUAGUGGUGUUUAACAGAAUUUGUGUUCACUCGUAGUUGUGGUAACUUUAACAUCACUAAUACACACGUGUUAAUCAUGCACCACUCUUUCUCUGAGGACGGAUAGCUGACAUUUCUUGCAGCUCAUAUGUUUUUGCAACAUUUUACACCACCAGGUGCAUUAUAAAAUUAGGCUUUAAUGAAAAAUGUGUUACAUGAUGAUGCAGGAGACAGGUAAGCCUGAGAUUUAAGUUCUUGUGCUGUUUGAUUAUCAAUCUAGAUUGAAUCAGGCAGGAUUUGGUGAAGAAUAACCAUCAAUGCCUAUUUUCAGAAAGUAAAAAUCAUCCUGGACAUUGAAAGUCUAGAGAUUAAACUGUUAUGUUUGAAUUAUAGUUUUAGAUACAUUCAAGUUGACAUUAAUAAACUGAUAUCAGCAUCAGAUAAGGGGUUUUCACUAAAUGUCAAGAUCUAUAAAGUUAUUAAAAAAAAAUUAUUUAUUUUUAUGACAAUGGACAUUGUAAUUAGUACAUUGAUGUUGAAUGCAUUUUGAGCACAGUGCAGAUAUAUGAAGAUGAUUGCAGCAGCUCUGUUUUGAGACGAUUUCUGUAUGUAUAAUUUUAAUGAAGUAGUUCUGAGGAUUCUUAUAUGGCUGCACAUCCAGCAGCUGUUUGAUCCCUCAGCUCCCUCCUCUCUGCUCUGAUUUAACACCUCUGACACAACUCAUGUUUCUAAAGUUCACACAACACUCUAUUUAAAGUCAUAAGAAAUGUUGGGCUGAAGCACUGAAACGAGGAAGAGAAAAGCCUUCAGUUCAGUGGAGGAAAAAUAAAAAAAUACUGUGAUGUAACUUAAUGAAGACAUCCUCAGCCGGAGAGCGGCUCUGCAGAAAAGGAGUGAAGUAUCACCUCAGCAGGAGGAAAGUGAAUCAACAACACACCUACAGAACAAAGAGAGUGGAGUGUAUCGGUUCAUCUAUCAACUCCAUCUCUCUCUCUGUCUCAGGCAGAAAAACCAUCAGUCACAUUUUCAAACAAUACUCUCUCCAUCUUUGUCAUCGGGCGCUGCACAACUACUUUUCUUCGAACGUCUUCAGAGAAAUCUGUGCAGAGAGAGCAAGAGCUGCACUCCUGGGUCAAUCUCAGAGAAAAAUGGCCAGACUGGCGGUCUUGGAGGUUUUACUUGAGGAAGCUGGUCCCUCAGUGCCCCUGCUGUGUGAAGUUAAAUUCUGAGAAGUGAGGUAACUGUAACACAAAGAGAACGUCGACAUAUUGAUGCUGCAGAGGCUUGCUAGAAAACAUUGAUUCAGAGGGUGUGAAGACUUCUAGGUGAAAAGAGCUUCUAUAAAAGUGCCAUGAGUCAUUGUGGUUAUCGCUCAGCUAUGAGUCUGUGACUGAGCAGAGGCUGUACACACAGGUUCACAUACAUAUACCAGCCAGCUCCUAUACAGUAAAGUAAAAAUGAACAAAUAUUUCUGCACCGAGCCUGGACCUUUACAGGCUCUAUGACAACAGGGUCUAAAUGACUCAAAGAUGCACAGGUUUGGACCUGUUCCUGUGGAUUCAUACAGAUGGCGACAUUAAAACCAAAUGGUAAUGGCCCAGUAAGAGGGAUGAAAGCAAGUCCUCUUGAGACUAACUCCAAACACAUGAGGCCUUGUUGUCCAAUAAGCACAAAGCAUUUUGGCGUGCAGUAUAAGCGUCAUGGUGUUUUCUACCUGAUGCACCAUUUCACGCCCAGAACCCACUUUGAAUCAAAAGCAUAUGAGCUUGCACACAUCAUAGCGCCCACAGGAGUCGUGGUUUUGAAUUAAGGUAUGGUCAGGCACUAUCAUGGCAUGCUGCUAUCUUGAGGCCACAGAGGAUGUCUGCGCCUUAUACUGCAGACACACCAGAGGCAGCUUUGUGCACCUGAAAAUUCACCCCCAUUCAUUUGUACAGCUAACUGACCUCUGGCUGCAAAGAGAGUUUCAGGACACUGGAUGAGACUGGCUACACUGUCCCACCAUUUUAGAGUGUUUGUUUAAUUCAGUGGAUUUUCGAAUUCAAGACAGCAGAUGACAAGGCCAAAAUAGGCAGGCGGUGUCCUGGUUGUAUCUACAUUUUUUCAGACCACCGAAAACCAACUCAGAUGUUUGUGGAGCAGUGCUUUCCUGCUAAUCAGGUGGUGCAUUGACAAAAUCAGUUAUCAGGUAUAAUCUCUAUGAUAUCUACACUUUAAUUCUUUAUUCAGUUCUGAAACUAUUUUGUUCAUCAAUUCAUGUGUCACGGAACGAAAUCAUUUAUUUCUGCAUGCGGAUAUAUUAAAGGGGGGGGGGGGGGUGAAAUUCAAAGAAAGUUAAAGGGAUAUUCCAGUGUAAAUUUAAGUUAUGGUCAAACACACCGUAACACUGAGUUAGACACCCCCUCGAGAGAUGAAUGAUGCUGACUGCUUGCGUCUGUAGUUUAACAAACUGUAGUAACGACCGCAGACAGCAAUACACAGUAGCCUAUGUCUCCAGUGCAAACCUCAACCAAAAAGCCACUCUAUAGCCACAAAUAAUGCUCAGAUCAGCACCUAACUUCAUCAACAGCACAUAUAGGGUCCCAGCCAUAGUACUAGCCAUCAAACAUCUCUUUAACUUUGCCUGGUUUCUUUAGCAAAGAGACUAAACACAACUCACAUACUCUCCUCCAGCAGCCGCUUGUUUGCGGGGGAGCCCUGACGUGUCGAUCACUGAGUGCAGUGGAGUUUUGCUGCUCAAGUAAGAAACUUUCAGUGAAGUAAUAAUAUCAUAACAAUCAUUUUGCACUGCAGACAUGGUAGUUUAUCUGCCCUACAUCUCAGUCUGAUUGCAUUUCCAUGAAGUAAUAAUCAUCAAUGUUCGACCAUACCUUAAAUUUACACUGGAAUAUCCCUUUAAGCAAGGAGUUAAAUAAAGAUGUCAGUUACAUGAUUUACCUGAUAACUUUCUUAGGAUACACAUUUAGAAUAAAAGCAUUGUUUGGUGACAGUCACUGACAACAGAUCAGGUUUUUAUUCUGAAAGGCAGAAAGUGUCACCAUGUUUUGCACUUCACACCCAGGAAGAUUCUUUGAGGUUGUGGACAGAGAUUGUCUUGAGACAAGGUCGAUAAACCUUUUAUUUUGGCCAAGAAAUGUCAAGUAUUUCACCAUUAGGAUUAGAUUUGAACCCAGACAUCAGUCCAGUAGCCCUAGCAGCUUCAUUUAGGAAGAGACGGUAAUAAAUUGGACAAAAGUCUAACCAAAAGGAGGAUAAACAUGACUGUAUUUCACCGACUGCUCCUAUUUUGUGGCUGAAACCUUUAAGUCAUCCAAGUCAGAAAUUGCCACAGGAACAGAGUAAUAGCAACACCUAGGGCACCCUUAGCCCCACCGGACAAUGUGAGGGGGGCUGACAGCCCAGAAUUCAUUGACAUGCCUCCGAGAGGUUGUUCUCUAAUAACAUAUCGAUCCAGCUGGCCUGAUAUGCAAAGCAUCUGCCAGGGAGUGUCGCUGCCUAGGUGAGACAAAUGCCCCCAGAAAACCUUCAACCUGGCUGUUGAUUAAAGGAGGUAUUAGGGCCCAUGAUUACACACAAGCAGCAUGUUGGGUAGUCCACAUCGAGCCAUGUCAGAGCCUGUCCUCAUUAGCACAUAACAUAUUACACCUCAAUGACAGUCAUUCAGAUUUUUAUCUCCUCCUUUGUGUUAAUAAGAGAAAAAUAAAGCCCCUUGAAUUAAAAGUAAAGAAAAGGCAAAGAAGCUAAAAAAAAAAGCAGUUAAAAACAUUUCUUUUUAUACUUUUUUAAACCUGCUGUAAUUAAAGCUCAAACCACAUUUUCUAACCAGACCUCAUUAAAAAGUGUUAGAAAUAAUUCAAUUUUCUGAGUAAAUCUAGAGGAUUAAGGACUCUGGAGUGGUUAAAUCAUUAGGAGGAAAGGAGAUGUUUUUGUGUUUUCUUGUGUUGGUCUGCAUAUUGAGUCAACUCUUUGAGUAAACUCUCACAAAACUUUCUGAGACAUCAACACUAAAAUAACUUGAUGUUUGCAAAGGAGAAAUGUAACUUUCUUAUUCAAGACAAUUACAGAAUGACCUUUAAAAUCAAUCCUAACAUUUUAAAUCACACAUACAAGUUUAAAAAAAAAAACAAGUUAGAGAGGAUAUAGAAUUCAUUUGUUGGGUGUUCUUGUGCUUGUUGUCCUCUUGAAGCUGUCGCUCAGUAUUCCUCUGAGAAAACCAACCCACAGAAUAAAAGCAGAGAUACUGUAAGUGGUUAAUGUCAGGCAGCACUGACGGGGAGAUUCCCUGUAAAAACACAGUCCUCUAAAGGUCAGACAUGACAUUCUACUUUAAAUGAGCCAGGUCGCUGUGGGUGAGGACUUACUUAGGCCUGGACGUUAUUUGGAAAUACCGGAGCGUACCCCCUCUGACCUAAACAUGGACGGAACAACCUUACAUUUUUAUCACUGGUUUUUAACCCAGUGGUCUAAUUUAACGUAUGAUUGGAAACAGGCAUGUUAUUUUUAUUUAAACUGGAGGAUGAUAAAGAAUUAAACAGGUGCUUCUCUGAUCUGGACAGUACUAUGGAAGACGAAAAUGAGCAGUUUAAAAUGUGCUUUAAAGAGAUUGGCAAUUCACCCAAACUGUACCUUACCUUCACCAAAAUUUGAUCCCAGUUACUGUGUCUGUCUGAAGCAGCUGUUUCACUCAGUUAAUGAGAUUCAAGAGUCUAAGUGACUACUGUGUUUCGCUGAUAAUACUAAUCGACAUCAUUUUACAUCCCUCAAAAAAUUUGUGAAAGCAAAACAACAGGAAAGUGUUUGUUAAAAAUAACUUAAUCAAGAAGAGGUGGCCUUCGCAACUUAAAAUGAGUGAUUUUAGUAAAUCAACACAAAAACACUUGAACCACUGAAAAAAGUUAUGAAAUCAAACAGUGACCGUAUGAGGAGACCAUGUACAUAUGUUUGCCACUUUACUAGACAAAAUAAAUAAAAAUGAUUAAAAAAAAAAUGUGAGUUUUAUUACAAAAAAUAGCUGCUACUUCUGUCUCUACUCCUCUACUGUUAGUUAAAGCUUUGUGGGUUCAGAGUUGACUCAAGAGUUGUUGUGUUAUCAGAUUUUCACCUCUCAGUUAUCAAGGUCAUAAAAUAUUGUGACAAUGUUAAAAUCACACAUUUUUGUGAAAACUAAAAAAAUAAAACACAAUCAGUCAGACUGGGAAAAGGCAGGACAAGGACUGAGCAACCCAUUAUUUCAUAAACUUGCUUCAUAAUUAUUGACAUAAUGCUCUUUUGAAGGGGGAUACCAUGUCCUGGCUUGUUGCUCAGUCUUAACAACUUAACUUUGAUUUUAUUUUUGUGACAAUAUGCUUCAAUCUUGUAACUUUAUACUAUAACCUGAUUAUCAGGUGCCUGUGUUCUCAUUCUCCUUUGACUUUAUUUUUGUGACACAAAGACCUAAACAAUGUUUUAGAAAUAUUUUAAAAAAUCAAAAUCUUGAAUCUGUUUGGAGAAGAUACAGCCUCAUCAAACAUUCUUUUUUUUUUAAAUGAUUUUAUUAUAUUGUGAUAUCCUUUCUGUUAUGUGUUUGGGUUGUUAUAAAACCCAUGUUUUUACACUUCAUCCAGCUGCUUAGUUAAAAUAACAAUGAGAAUGAUUAAAUGUUAAAUUGAUGUCAGUUUUAUAAAGUACUCAUUCAUUUUUUUAAAGGAAUGCUACACCUAGCUCCCUGGCAGCUGCUCCUUCUUCGUCUUCCUCUUUCACUCGCAUAGACGACUAUGACUAAGAAGUCACGGUAUUACUGCUGGCUUAUUUUAAGGAUUAUUUCAAUAUUUCCUCUUAUUUAAUCAAAAGGUAAUUACAUUGAACACUGAUUUACUGCAACAGUUCCAGUGCACACUCAUAAAUUAAUGUACUAAUCAUUCAUUUAGUUUCCAAUUUUGUUUUUAUCAUUUAGGUAUAAAAAAAGUCAAACAGUUUCAUCAACUAUUGUAUCCCCUAUAAAAGUAAACUCAUCUUUGAGCCUUCUGUUUCUUGUUUCUUAUGCAUCACUUUAAUGCCAUACAUCUAAAUGCUGAAACCAUAGACUGUAUAUACUACGCACAACUUGGUUCCGCCUUCCACCAUGUACGCACCCCACCACUUGCGCAGUAGCAUUGUGCGCAUUUGGCUGGUGAGUCACUGUGAUGCUCAGCUCAAACAGCGUAUCCCCCCAGGAGAGCUACGCAAUCCUUGUGCACCCAUAGGCUGUAUCAGGUGUCAAUCAUAGAAAACAUGAACCCCCUAAUAACUUUUAAAUAUGGAGCUGCACAGAAAAAAGAGGACUUGAGCACAAACCAGUCUAACAAUAACUAAAUGUCAACAUUACAACCAGUUGGAGAAAAAUGUAUGUUCUGUGUAAUAAAUUUCUAAAGUUUUUCCACAGCCCCAUCAGCUUUGCUGGCGGAGGUGGGAUUUAUGACCUAUACUGCAGCCCGUCACCAGAGGGUGCUGUUCUUGGAGUGGCUUCACCCAGCAAGGAGGCAGAUGCUGUCCAUUCUAUAUACAGUCAAUGGCUGAAACCAACACCUUAAAAUAUUUGUAGAUUAACUUGUGCAAAUGUUCAAUUAAAUAAAUCCCCUGAUUAUAUGCAGUGAACACAGAGUUUUUGUAGAAAUUGUAGUUUUUGUUUUUUUACAGCCAUAUCACAAAUGAUCCAUGCUUUCUCCUGAGAAGUAUUAUCUUGGGAAUAAUUAUCACAAAUCAAUGAUUUUUCUGUUUGUCUAACUUGGUGACUAUUUUUGCUUUACGGCCAACAGAAUCCUCUCCUCAAAAGCCAAACCCUGAUGAGAGAGAUCUAGUUUAUGCAGCUGUCAGAGGUUUGUCCAUUUUUUUGGGAAGUUCAGUGGAAAGCCAUUUGUCAUCUAGCUCUGGUUGACUACAAAAAAUUACUCAGAAUUCAAAUGGUCAUGUUUCAAGUUCUCAGUUUCCUUUGAUGACAUGAAGAGCAAGCAGCCAAUCUGCUGGCCCUGGCUCAGACACAAAGGCUGCUAAUUAAAAGUCUGUCCGAUCUGUAGUCCUGCUCGUAUUGGAUGGCAGAGCACAGCCCUCUGUUUUGCAUUUUGAUGUCUUCAUCUUUGUAAUUGUUGGUUAAGUCGCUCUGCAUUAUUGAUGAGCCCAUACGCUGAAAACAAAGCAAACAAUAUGCAUGCCAAACAAAUGCCCUGCAGUGCACAAUGUUCACACAGGCCUUCAGUCUAAUCACUUUUACUCGUGGUGUCUCCGAGUUAUGCACACAAACAUUUGCCUUGGGCUGUUUCAGAGUUUGACUGGAAAAAUGCCUGAAGGAGGGAACACAGAGGCAAUUACACGCUCUGUCUACAACUGUGUGUUUCUGCUCACUUUUUGGGAAUAUUCAAAAUGGCACAUGCUGUGCAACGCCUUUAUCUCUAAAGACUGUGUAUCCCAAUAAAGUGUGAACUUGUCCUAAACAAACUCUAACAGUGAGUCUGAAAACCAAACUUUUUUUAAUGCCUGUAGAAACAGAUCUACCCUGAAGUGAGCCGAAACUCUGGAGGAACAUCACUAGCCAGUUUAACAAGCAGUAUCUCACAGUAAAGUAUGUUAAAAGUUUUCAUUAGUUUAUUCAUUCACUUCGCCCUCUUUACCACACAAACCACCAUGCAGGAAAUUCCUGUUAAAGCCGGGCUACUUUUUUACAUUUCUUGGUGUGGCCAAUAAGAAUAAUUAUUGAGGUGCUCCAGUAGAUAUUUCCAUCCUGCUGCUGUAACCACUGUCUAUAAAAGAGUGGAAGUAGUCUUGGUGAUGUCCAUCAUUGGUUUCAUGGUGAUCUCCAUGUUAGAAGAGAUGCAGUCAACUCAGCCACACCCUAAUUAUGCAAAUCAAUGCAUCACUCUUGUUCUUGGUCUCUUAAAAACAGGUAAGCUUCAGAAACAGAAAUCACUCACACUGUGUACUUAUAAAACUGGUCAGACAAGGCUGUAAACUUGUUAAAGUUUGUUGUAAAGUUGUUCAUUUUAGUGAAGGCGUCAUUGGGACUUCCUUUGAUACUGGAAACAACUGCAAGAUGAUUAUCAUGUUUUUUAGCCCUUCUUCACCGCCUUCAUUUUUCAAUACUGACAGUUGCUGCUCAAGUAUUUAUUUAUUUUUUUUCCAACUGAAGGUCCAGGACUGCAACUCUGGGACUAAAUCUCUUGGACCCUUUAUUGUUGGGUCAGUAUUUGGACAUUUGCAGACACAUGCUACUCUGUUGCUCAGCUAUAGCACAGGAUGCAUUGACUGCAAUGUAAAAACCUACUUGUCCACUAAAAGUUUUUGUCACUUACUUUGAAAAUACUCUCACAAGCAGUUUGAAAAAACAAAGCUCUCCUGAUAUGGUCUUUCUCAAAGAUUUGCAUGUACUGAAAGCCAGGAGACCUAGACGACUGGGGAACCAUCGUUCCUUACACUGACGCCAUCAGACUCUUUGUAGUUCAUACAUUCUUUCCUAUUUGGAAACAAACUAACAAUAUCAAAAAGCUGCACAAAGCUUGAUCACCAUGCUAAAAGUACUUUUGAAGUAUAAAGGAAACGUUGAAAGGGCUCAGGAUAAAUAGCCUGGAAUACUUCACAGGGAAAUCAGCAACAAAAUUUCAGGGUGCAUAGGUAGAAGUUAUUUGUCAACCCUUGGAUCCAGGACAUGCAGGUAUGUCCAAAUGAUUCUCCCAUGAAGCUAAGCUCAUUCAUAUUCUGGAUAUAGGUGCAAAUAGAAAUGAAAUGCGAUGGAAAACCGAGCAAAAAUAAGCUAUUCUAGCCAUUUUUCAUAUAAAUAUGGGAUAACAUACAAAUGAAAACACUCAAAAAAGCAUUUUGCACUAUGAGGAAGUAAUAUUUUACACAAGUAGGCAAGUGGGGCUGACUCCAGAUGAGAUCAGGACUGUAUAAUGUGCCAAAUAUGGUGAUUUUCGACCUAACGUACCACACAUUUUGAGUGAUUACUCAAAAAGUUAUGAAAUGCCCAUCCUGAAACUUGCAGGGAUGCUAGUGGACAUGAUAGUCUUUCUUUAGUGUGAAUAUGAAGAAAAUUGAAGGACGCGCGUUUUUUGCUAUUUCCAAUUUAAGUUUUUGGUCUUUUAUAACUUUUUUUCUGGUCCAAUUUGGGAAAAAAUGUUUUGAACAAAAACGUAGGCCUUGAAGAGAGAUUUAAAAUGACACCUGAAUCAGCUCUCUAGAUGCCAUACUUCCAGAGAUAUGAACCAUUUUGUAACGCAUGUCAUGCUAAUUAGCCAAAAUUCCGUUAGCCCCUAUCUCACUAAUUAGAUGGCUUUGAACAAAAAUAUUUGAGCUCUGACAGUUUCUCCUGAAGGCCAAUCACUCCACCAAAUUUCAUCAAAAUUUGUGACGUGAGUGGAGAUUCUUGGUUGAAUUGACAUGGAAUGACCCAGAAUAGAGCUAUACCACCAGAUAUUACUAACUGCAUAAAAAUGAUCAUUCCCUUUGAUGAAAGUGGUCCUGGCUGAGCCAGCAUUUCCAAACCGGCGACCAUCAUAUCCUGGCUUUAAAACAUUUCUUCAGAAACCAGUGGGUAACAUCACUGAAACAACACCCUCCUGGUUUGAAAAGGUGUGUCUCUGUUGGGGAUGUCCUAACCUGAUAUUGAUAUCGGAUAUCGGUCUGAUAUCAGCAAAAAAAAAAAAGAAGAGAAUAUUGAAUUAUACCGGCCUGCAUAUUAAAUCUCCAAUAUCAGCACUAAAAUACAAGCAGUCCAUUCCAGACUCUGUUCCAGCACCUCUAUCUAGCAGCACCCAGAUCCAGCAUGCAGAGCCCACAUGAUCACAACAACAGUGUGUACUAAGGUACAAACAAAGUAGAAGGAGUAGGUUUGAUGUUGGCCGUGUGGCAGUAUUGUUCCUUUUAGUUCCGAAAAAGACAUUGUUGCAUAGUGCAAAACUUGUCAUGCACAAGUUUGUGCCAAUAUCGGAUCAAUAUUGGUAACAGCCGAUACUGAAGGCUCUAUUGUAUCGGAAGUAAAAAAGUUUCAUCGGGACAGCCCUUGUUUCUUAAUUGAGUUUUUUUAUGUAAUGAUGUUAGUCAGAUCUGUUCAGUCUAACAACAAUAAUCUGAUCCUGUCAGUGACAAAAACAAAAACUUGAAGGGGAUGUUUUUCAAUCCAUUAAUUGAAAUGGAUCCAUGGAUUGUGUUGUGGCAGGUACGGCCUCUUUCACUGCUGCAGGCUGAAGAAUUUUACCGACGUUUCCCUGGAACUGUUUGUACCUUUAAAUCAUGAAAACCCCACACUGUUUAAAAGAUUAGGUUUAGCUUUAUUGAUACCAGAAGGACCCUUUGGGAGACAUCGACAAACAGGUAAUUAAUUGGCAUCUUGUGGAAAAAAAUGUCAACAUUGUUUGUGAUUUAAAGUCUACACCUGCCUGAAAACCAGGCAGAAAGUGUUGGGAUAGUACUUUAUCUGACUCACAGCUCUUCUUUACCUUUUUUAAUACAUUAAUCUGUCUUUAAAUGCCAUCUGAGGAACCUAAAUAUGUCAUGCAAAAAGCAGGAGGUCUCGAGGGAGACAAUAGCCUUUAAAGUAAACCUUUAAGAUCGAGUAUCUGAUGGUCUUUUUCUAACCGUAGCAAAACUAACAAACAAAUGCACACAAACACUGAUACAAACCAGAUCCUCCUAUUGCAUCAGCUGCAAACCUGUUUGUGUAAGCGUUGCGAUGGAUUAGGGACUGUGCUGUAAGUUACUCGUCAUGCCUCAUGUUGGUCUGUGUGCCAAGUCAAAUUCUAUUAGUCAUAAAAAGUGACAGCGCAGCUCUGCAAACUGUGAGAGAGACUCUUAUUUAUGCGGAACAGUGGAUUAGAGCUGAUUGAUAAUUGUUUAUGCCCUCGGCGGUGGUGAAUGUGUGUAUUUCAGGAAAAUUCACCAAAGCCGGGGCUACAGAGAGGAGAAGGCAUGCGAGCCGGCAUGCAGAAGUGGGUGGUGAGUUUAGAGACGCAUAUGACACAGUAAACACACUGAGCUGCUUCCUCCCGUCCUCUGCUCCUUGCACAGAUCAAGAAGAAAGGCUGCAGAGACGAAGAAGUCUUCGUUUUAGCAAGACCAAUGAAAGGAAACAAAUUCCUGCAGUUUCUUUUAAAAGUUGUUUAUUUGGAUUUGCAGGUCUGUCGCAGAACUCAUGCAUUCAUUAAAUUAACUUUUUACUUGCAGUGUUUAUUGUCUUUGAAAUUUAAUAUAAAGUUUGCUGCAAUAUCUGAUGGUAUGUACCUCUGUUAAUUAAUGCUAUAGUCUGCUUUUAGAGUGGGGACCGAUGUGUAAAGCUGCAGAUAAGACUGUUUGCUGUUUACUUAAAACUCAUUUAUGCAGCAAAAAAAUUAAAAAACCUGGCUCAUUAAGAAAACAGACAAAGAAUAUUGAAGCAAUAAUAGAUUAACUUAGCCAAGCAAAAAAAGAGAUUUAUCAUAAAAUGAAUUCAUUAUUCAGGUUAAUAUGAAAUUCUUUUUUUUACAGCAAACAAGGGAUAAACUGUCCCUCAUUUGUUGUGAGGCUUACAAGUAGUACAAGAUCCUCUUAUUUUAUUGUCUUUUCCAGGUUAAUUUACGUUUUAUUUUAUUUAGAGAGAAAAUUUUUGAAAUUCAAGUUACUAAGAGUUUUACAAAAGAGGCAAAAUAAACCAAGAACUUCAUAAAAUCGUCUGCAGGAGCAAGGGAGGAUGAUUUCAAUUCAACAUGCAAAUUUGAAUCCUGAAAGUGACGCUAGAAGUAAAUACCACCUGCUCCUAUACCACAGAACCUGGGCACUUUUUUGCACUUGCAUCAUCUGCAACCUUAUUGGUUUGAUCAAAUGUCUGUCAAAAGCAAAGAGAUUUCCAUUAGGCUUCUGCUGGUGAGUGUACAUUAUGAUGAGAUUCCUCUGAGAUUUCAAAUAUUUAAUACCAGUUGCAUUGUGGUAUUAAGGUGCACAUCUACAACAAACAUUACCUCUUCAAGUAUUUAUUCAUAACAAAGAAGAAAAAGGAACAGGAGCCGCAGACAUUUGAAAAACUUCUAUUUCUUUUUUCUUUUACUUGUCCCAUUGACUUCAAUGCAUGUUCUUUUGCAGUUUUUCACGACUUACAUUAAGAAAAAAAUUCAUAUACAAUGGAGAAAAGUAGCAACACACCGAUCCCGAUCAAACUGCACAUUUUGAUACAAAAUUUGUCCUCCAACUCUUUAAGCUGUAGGGAUAGUAGUGAAUCAAAAUUUUGUCCAGAGGAGGAACAAGAAAAAUAAAUUAAAAAAUAGUGCCACUGGGCUUUGUCCCUUGGCCCUAAUAAAAAAGGCGAGACUGAAACAUUAAUAUAAACUUUUGGAAGUGGUUUUCCAUUGAGAAAGACAGGGCUGAAAAUAAAAACAUGUUUACAGUUUGCGUAAGAGAAGUCCCUCUUGUCUUUUAACCCACAGUUGUGUUUGUAUUUUCACUGAGAGGUACAUUUAGAGUCACUGCAGCCACUCUGCUGUUAGGGCCAAAUAACUAUCAGCUUGAUAACAAAUUACUUUAUUGUUACUGUGCUUCAUCUGCAGCAGGGGAUGUUAUUGGGCACUACCAGAACAGAAACAACAAAAUUGUACCCGAAUAAUCUGAGACCCAAAAGCAGAAAUUUUAAAAGGUAAUUGUAUUGUACUUACGCUGGUGCAGCUUGACUAUUAAGAGAGAGCACAUGUGGGUCCAAGCUGCUUCUUUCAGUGCAUUACUUAAGCUGAUCAGUCCUAAAACAUUAGGAGUGGUUAUGCUUUGCAACCACAGUUUAUUUAUAGAUAUAUUUAAGGAUUUAUUUAUUUAUGUCCAACGCUGUAUAUACCAACAUCUGCUGAUGUAUACCCUCACCCUUGCCUAAAAGGUUAUUUUUUUAAUGCUGAGAACUGUUUGAGAGUCCGGGGAGCUCUUACAGGGGAAAAUAAGGUUGAUUACUGAGGAAUAACAACAGGGGUGCUUCAGUUAUAACGUGUUGUCUCAUCUCUGUAAUAUCUAAGAUAUGAAUUCAUGCCUGAAAAGCAGCAGAUAAACUGUUUUGCUUUUUGCACAGAGGGGAAACAUUUUGUUUUUCAGUGUGCAGGAGAUGAUUCAUUAUAAUUCAGUUUGCAUAAUAGCAUAUCCACAUCACCCAUCCUGCCCCAUUUAUCAUCUCUCUGCUACUUCAGGUUAAAUGAUGAAUAACUGUGGUGACAAUUGGUGCAAAAAACAUUUAACAAAACAAAGCAAAAAACAAAAAAUCACACAUUUAAGAUGUAAAUAAAAGGUAUAUAACAGUGGGUGUUGAUCACACCUUAUAUGAGUGUUAAAAGUGGUCUCCAAAGUCAAAGUGAUUGAUUGAUUUGAAGGAUUUAACAGCUUUGGCACCUGGUGAAUCUUGGCAAAUAAGCCCAAAAGACAAUCUUUUUUAUAAGGCACAUGCAAAAGGUAAAACACAUAUAAGACAUAAACUAUAUAUAAGGCCAUAACAAGACGACAGCUCUUUGAGAAACCAUCAUCAAUGAGCUAACGUAGACAAAGAAAUACAGUUUAUGACUUAUAGACAGGAGGACAAAAACAAUGUUUGGGACACAUAUCUCUCAUAUGGGGGUGAUAAUCUGUCUUCAAUUGGACUUGACUUGGUUAAUCAAAACACUAUCAGUACAAUUUAGUAGACAGUAAAUUUGACUGUUGAAAGUCAGCAGGAUGAGAUUUCUUGCAAAGGUCCCUAUCCAAACAUGUAGAGGGCAAAACCAGUGAAGACUGUUUGUCCACGGGGGCGCCAAAUCACCAUCAAAUGAAACUCCCUGACUGGAACUUUAAAUAUCAUUAGCCUUAUUUUUCAUCUCAUUAUAUGUUUAUAUGUAUAUUUUUUUCUAACCUAUUUACAUUUGCAAUUUUAUUGAGUACCUUAUUUACAAAAAUUCCAAAAAUUUAGGUACAAAAAAUAAAUAAAUGUAUAGUAAAAAAAUAAAUAGUAAAAAUUUUCCCAUAAAUAAAGAACAGAUUUCAAAUAUUUAGUUUCUGCCUAUCUGUCCAUCUGUGUGUUCACAAUUAUUGAUAUCAGUUAUUGAAAAAUUACAGCUCUCAGUGUUUAUGUAAAAGAAUCUGCUCCUCUAUCAAUAGCUUGGUCUGAGAAAAACCUCAAAGGUCAUGAGUCGACUCCAAAUGUCUUGGUCCCUGUUGCAGCUUCAGACUUGGAAACUGAACACUGAGCCAAACCGAUGAUCAAUGUCCUUUCAGCGACAACCACCCCUCUCCACCCCACCCGCACAGACACCACAUGUGGGCGUCUUACUUCCAGCCCUCGAUCCAUACCUCUGUGCUUCUGUAUUUACAGCAGAUCAAACAUUCAGACGGAAAGAUGGCUCACAUCGAUUGGCUUGUGGGUUCACUAUUUUGAGUGGCAUUUCAUAAAUAGAGCCGCCUUGUGAAAUAGUAAUGAGCUGAUGGUGAUUAGCAUUCAACUGAAAUACGGCGUGAUUGAUUAGAUAUUCAGAUUUCAUUUGGUCAAGGUUAAAAAUGGAAGAAAAGGAUCUAAAAAGAACUCCACAAAUAAAAAGAAAGCUGAGAUUUAAUGCUGAUAUCAGUUUGAAAAAACAAAACCAGACACUGCGGAUGGGUUAUUGUUGUAGAAAUGAGGUUGGUUUUUCCUUCCUCAGCCGAGUGGCACUCAGUCAGAAGAGACUUCCAUAGAGAGUAAAAUAUCUGUCCAUGAAUACAUCUGCAGGAUAAGGGCAGAAAUAUGUACUUCUCCAAAGAAUGAAAGGAUUAUCUUAGUCGGUCUGAUCUCAUGUUGUUCCAUAUUCAGAGGGUUUGGAGGAGAAAAGCUCAGAUUUUCCAAUUUGAUCCUAAAAUUCAACAUUCUGCUCGGAUGAGGCUAAAUCCUGAGGUGGAAAUCCAGGUACCACAAAGGUGUGAACAUCCGGGAAUGGAAUACUAGGAGGAAAUGUUGUAAUAUUUAGAAACUUUGAACAGGUACUCACUCACUGGUACCAUCAGUUUUAGAAAAAAUCACGUGUUAGAGUCUUCCAGGCUUUUGUUACUUUCCAUAAGUUUUUAUUAUGACUUGUGUCAUACAAGGAUUGUAACUUCAUGAGGCUUUUUCUGACUUUGCUCUGUGAUAGCUGUGGUAUUUUAAGCCCCUGUGAGACGACAAAAUAAAUGAUUUCCCUCUGUCAUUCUUUUUAUACCUAAUACUACUCUAAGGUGAAAGGUAUCAGGCCACUCAAUAGCCACUAAAUUUGACUAUCUUUGAUUGAGUCCCUGAAGACCCCAGAGUUUCUCUUUGCCACCAGUCAAUUCAGACUAACUGCCCUUAUCAGAAAAGGGGCUGAGCCACAUAUUAAGGGCAAAGUACCAGGUUGGAUUGCAGAUACUUUUCAGAUCCCCUGGCGACUUAUUUUCAAAAAAGUGCCUAGUUACUAUUUUGAGUUGCUAAAAUUGGAGUUUGGAGACUCUGACAUGAAGGCAGGUAUCAAUGUCACUCUUCUCAAAACGGGUAGCAGGUGUGCAUCAAAAACACACCCUUUUCUAAGACUUGAUUCAGAACCAGUAUGGUGAUCAUUUGAACUUGAAUCAUGUUUAAAACGUGUAUAGAUUAUAGAUUUUACUUUGUAUAUUUUCUUGAUUGUCUUUAAUGCCAAUAGAUCUAAACUGCAGCAUUCUUGCUACUCUGGCAUCUUUACAACUUGUAGUGCAAAAGUCAUGUUCAUCAACAUGUUCAAUAAGUUUCAAACAAAAAGCUAAAUAUAUAAAAUUAGACAAGAGAAGAGGAUUUUAUACCUACAUAAGACAAAAGAAGGAGUACUACGAAAAAAAAUAUCGGUCAGUAAGAGGAAUAAAACUUUAUUUACUGAUUGUGUGAUUAAAAACAUUUUAUCCUCUGCCUCAUCUUGCAGGGAGUGGCCAUAUUUUUCAUUUUCUGCUAUUUCAUCACAUUUCAAGUUUUUCUUUGGUGAUUUCCGAAAGCACUGACAUAUAUCCCUUCAGAGGUGCAAAACCUUCCCCAUGCUAUAAAAAAAUCGAAUAACUAAAGGAAAUAAGAAAGCUAAAAUGCUACACUGUACUAGAAACAUUUGCUAAAGUUUCUGUAAACUUGAAGGCAUUCAUCAUUAUCAUUUGUUGUUUAUAGUUCUUGUGUAUUAAAUUUGUUUUGUGUGUUAAUGUACCUUUUUAUUGUGCCAUUUCAACCAAUUCAAACUUCAUAUAAUCAAUUCUGAGUCCGAUGUUCCUAACCAUGGAGAAAACAAUAAAUAUUGCAAACCUGUGUCCAUGCUGCUUUUCCUUCAGUGCACAUGCAGCUUUAAGGACCAAGGACACAGCUCAGGUAGUACACACUUAGUAUUCUGAGGCUGCGUGCAGAGAGAGAUUGCACCUGUACAGGCUGUUAGGUGAUGUCUGUGUCACUUGGAUGACCAGAAUCUGUAGCCGAGCGUUUCCUUGAGCUAUGGAAUUGGUUGUCUCGGGAAAAUCUGAUUAGUCACCGCUGACAAUGCAGAGACAAGGAAAUUACUUUCUUGUGCAUAUCAUUACGAAAAAAUCAAUAUGACGGAUGUGGUGGGGGCUUGGGCUAUUUAUUGUGGCUGAACUCAGGGCCAGGCGGCCUCUCUUUGCAUUGGCCUCUUGUUACUGCUUUAAUUUGUUCUCAAGACAAAAAGAAAAAAACUUGAAAGAGCUGGAGGUGCAUCCUGAGGUGCGUGCUGCAGUGUCCGUACGACUGUAAAACCACCGUCUUAUCCCACUGCGUGUCUUAAUUACCUGAAAAUAAAUCUGCUCAGGAGGAAAUGCGAGUGGUGCUUCAAGGUGAGACCUCCUCACACUCGUCUCCUUAAUGCUCUCAUUAUCGGCACCGGUUUUAAUUCAAGGUUCACACCACAAUGCCGCAGAAACAGACAAGCAAGUUCAAUUAAAAAAAAAAAAGACAAGAAAAGAAAAACCUCUUAGCUUCUGAAAAGUCUCAAAGGUCAGCCAAUUCAAAAAUCUGCUCCUCAAAGUGAGAGGUUGUAGCAAGAGGGCACAACAGGAAUAAGUAGACAGAGAGAUGAGCUAUUCAGAGCAAUUUUUGGCUGUUUUGAAUAUGUGCUCUUGUGGCUUAAGGCUUUCAGAGCCUGCCUCUAGUGGACACUUAAGUCACUGCAGUUUUGAGCACUGAAGCUUCACCUCUCAAGACCAGAGGUUACUGAUUGGAUUAGGAUUCUUUUCUACGUACUCUUUAUUAUGAUUGAAAAAAAAAAAAAAAACAAUAUUAGCUGCUUUACUGCCACUUCCUGGGCUGUUGGAAGCAAGCCUUUUUAGACAUGUAGACACUGAUUCUUUUGAAAUUCGGACAUCCUCAAAAUUCUCAAUCUUUGAUCAAAAUUUAAGAUUGAUGUCAUACCGAGGUCAGGCUAUAUGUUUUUCACACAAUUAGGGUUUUGGGCAACAUUAGCCCCCAAAAUCGUGUGUUGUUUGUAAUAGUAAACAAUAGCUAAGGCCACUUAUCCAACAGAGUGAGUUUUUUUCUCUGUCUUUGUUGAUUUUUCCUGUCACACAGGUGGUUAGGGUAUCAACCAAUGAGUGUACGGACAGCUUUGAAGGUGCAUAAGUCCAUGAAGAAAGAAUGACAAGUGCUGGGAGAUGGAGCUGUAAGACAGAGAAAUGUUAGUUGCGCUCUAAUGCUCUGGGAUUAUCUCAUCUGACAAUGACCAUCCUAACAAAGAGAAGAACCCUGUAGUCUGACUUUGGCAUAAAAAAACUGAUUUACUGUUUACAACUACACAGCUCCACGUUUUAGAAACCUUUAAGCUUGGAAACAGUGUGGAUAUACCAUCAUUGUGUAAAUUCAGAGUUCAGUUUUGAGUGCAAACACUUUUUUAAAUGACACACAAGCCCACAGUUAGCCUCUGAUUGGGUUGUAUCAGAAAUGACAUGUCCCAUCAAGUCCUGUGAUGUUUCUCAUUCCCUCUGCGCCUAAGUCUUUAAUUUAGAUUAGAGGUGUCUUGAAGAAGUUCUGUUCAUGUUUCUCGAAACUUGAAUCAGUUUUUGCACUCUUUUCUGACAGAGUGUUAAAUGUUUCUAAUAAACUGGAGAAAGAACACAGGGUGAAACCCUGCUAUUAUCAGCACUGGAGGUGGGAUUGAAAGCUGGCUGUGAUCAGCCUCCGACGGUGUGUUUUCACUGUGAUUUCUCUCAGUAGAGGAGCAUGUGGAAUCAGCGUGAUGAAGAUGGUGAAGUUUGUGUGAGGUGAUAGAGCAAACACUUUACUACUCCAGUAUCCUUGUGUUAAAAAGUCUCUGAAAGUUUCAGCAGAGCUCUCACUGGUUUCCUGCAGUAACAGUUUGGCAACCAGCCUCUAGAAAGUGCUCAUGGUCUCACAGCAGAUUUUGUCCCUUUAAAAGACAGUCUGCUGGAGAGUUGAAUGGUUUGGACUACUGUAUGGUGCUGUUACCAGCAUGUAUAAAGAUAGUGUAUUUAAUUGUAUUGAAGUCACAGCAUUGUCUUACACUAUUUGUGUUAAUGUUUUUCUAAAAUUUUAAGUUGUCCCUUUUCUGCCAAAUUCCUUUUAGAAAGAUUUUACGUCAGACGACAUGGGAAACUGUCAGAUAAAGGAUGGACGAUAAUAGAGCGCUUGUUCUUGUAAAAAUGGGAGAAGUCAUCCUAAAGAUUAAUUGGUUUGAGAGAAAGGUGCCAUGUUUCUGGGUUCAAGGUGUGACAUUUGGAGCCAACAAGGAAGUGAACUCCAUUAUUAAGAUUUAUGAAAAUGAUUCAGGUUUUAAAUUUCAUUCACCCCUCCUAUUAUGAAUUCUAUCUUAAAAAGCAAAUUGAAUUAAGUGCUGCAUUAUUCUCUCUAAUUACCACGUCCACAUCAGUUCUUUGGAGAAAGUGAUUGAUGCUGAAUAAAAGACGCAGUGAAACUGGACCAAACGCAGAAUGAUUCAGCUCUGAGCAGGAACUCUUUGUUGUGAGAGUUUUACUCUUAACUGAAGGCAGAGCUCAGGAUACAGAGCUGCCUCUCCCUCUCUCACAGUGUUUGUUUCUGUAAAGCAGCUCUGGCCAUCAGUACACAGGGGAGAUGAAGAGUUAUUGAACUGUUAUUGAUCGCAGGCUGGGAACAUCCAGAGAUUUAUAUAUAUUGUCCUUUUUCCAAGGUAAGCAAACAAUAAUCAGAAGAGCUGAAAUCCAAACUUUUGUCUCAUAAUAAAGCUUUCUACUGUAUGUAUUUAUUUUUUUGUAGAGGCCUGGAGAUGACCUACUGAAAACAACUGAAUAGAUGCAGUCCUCAAACAUGGUCUGACAUAUUCUAUCAAUGUGUGCAAAAUGCACAAAAGUGAUGCAAUGCACAUUCUAUUCAAAAUAAACCAAUUUAAGCUUAAUAAUGCCCUUUUUAUAUUAAUACAUGUUUGAUGGACAUUGUUAGUCUUUGCAAAUAUUUGACAAGGGAGAUAAUGCAACAAUUCACUCACCUUCUAGAAGGGAUUGCCUCAUUAAACACAGUGAGUGCAAGCAUUGAAAUUUGGUCAUAAACAGUGAAAUCCCUUUUGGUGCUACUUAUGUUUGAUUACAGACUGACUUGGCUCGGACAAGGACAUGUGUGACAGUAUCAAAGUAUCCAAAGACUGAAAUGCAAACUCCAGUGUCAGUGUCAUAUUUUAAAACAGCUUCACUUUCAUCAAUUUCAGAGAGCUUUAUUGGUCCUUGAUUUGCAUUUAAGGGUACAAAAACACUCAAAAACCAUGAAUGUCUUCUGGUCUGGGCUCUUUUUUUUAUUUUUAUUUUUUUGCUGUUGUAUAAAUAAAUACUUGAAAAAGGAAUGUUUGUUGUAGGUGUGCUCCUUAUAUAUAAUAUCACAAUGCGGCUAGUAUUAAUUAUUUGAAAUGUCUGAAGAAUCUCAUCAUAAUGAACACAAAACUGGCAGUAGCCCCCCGGUCCUUUCCAAAUUUCCCAGAGGGAAUCUUCUUCUUCUUGUUGAAGUUUACAGUUGAAAAAUGACUUGAUAUUGCUUUAUUGUUGAUUUUCACAAGGCCAUUUUUUACCAUCAGUACACAGCAAAGAAACUACAUGUGUAGAAAACAUGGACCUGAAAGACAUCCAUUCAGCACAUAUCAACUCAUGUAUCUCCUUUUAGUUCAUAUAAACUCACACACAGUUGUUUUGUUCAUGAGUGUGUAAGAGAUGGGACAAAGCUAGCAAACUGUCUUCGUUCCCGGGCCUGAAAUCAAAACCUAGACCAGACAGGAGCUCUCUGAGAUGAGUGGAGGGGGUGCUUGGGAUCUCAGGUUCUGGUUUGUGCUCUGGUCAGGUGUAGAUGGGGCAGAGAUUUUGGUGACGCUGUUUGUGAUGCGUAUGAAUUUGUUCUUGUUGGGGAUGUUUGGUAUUGGACCAAUAUCAGUUUAUCAAUAGCUGACGCAGACGAUUCUAGAGCAGGUUGGUCAAUGGGCGAUGUAUAAUGCCAAUAUCACAUUAUAGUUUUUUUUUUUUUUUAAUGUAAUAUUACUUAAAAUGAGAAAACAAAAUCUGUGAACAUUUGGAUUAUCAGAUUAAUUAUUCUAUCUCGAGUUGGGGUAUUACGGUAUGUCAUAAGAUCUGGCUAAUGAAACAUGACAAAAAGAAGGAAAAUUACAACUAUACAUCAAUACAGAAGUUUAUAACAAAAAACUAGUUUAGAGCUAUACAAAAAGGAUGAGGAGUGUGCGUCAGUGAAGAUGUGUGGAACAUGCUGCACAGUGUGAAAAUAAAUAAAUACAAGCACAACUAAAGCCAAACAUACAAAACUGUGUUGCCAUGUGGAAAGCCACUGCACGGAUGAGUGGGUGGGCCAGUGCUCGUAUACACCUGGGAGAUUGGCGAGGUAGCCUACUCUGAGGUACAGUGAAACCCCGCCCACAAAAUAGACUUAAGUAAUCUAUUAAGCAGUGUCUAUCCAAGAGGGAACCAUGUUGCUGCAUGCACCGAGAACAGCACUGCAGAAUGAAGAUGCUAUCAACAUCUGCACCGACAGAUUAAAUCCAGAUUCAGAGUGAUUGAUUGUAAAGGUGGUAAAGUGAGGUGACUUCUUCUCUGCAGACACAGAGUGAAUGAUAAUAUUGAAAAUGUCAAAAACUGAAGCCAGCAUUAUUUCCUGUCAGACGGUGUUCAGUGCAGGAAGCCAAAUUUACUUAGAUUCAUUCGGGGCCAUAUCUGCCUUAAUUUGCCAUCUGUGCUUGUUUAGAAGAGGGUCUCUGGACGCAGAUGAGAGUGCCUCCAAAUCUAACUCAAAGUCCUGCUUUCAAAGUGCUGGAAGACUAAGCGACAACUGACGUGCGGGUUUGAUGUGUGAGCUAUUUCCAUUCACACAAAGGAUUCUCAUACUCAACCUUGGUUUAAUUUAAAACAUAUCUGUUUCAUCAGUGACCAUUUAUAAGUUUCUCAUCCACAUUUUCACCAGAAAUAUUUGUAUGCAUCAACAAGCAACAACACAAUUAGCAUCUUAAAGGCAGAUUUUUAAGAUGAAUUCAAAAUUGUUUACAUCCAUCACAUACAAACACCGUCACAGACAUGUAACACAAAGGUCUGAGUAGAAGAAACAGGCCGCUUUCUAUUUGCCAGUUUCAAGGUGAACACUUGGAGACAUCAGGUUUCUUAUUACUCGGCUUAACAGGCUCCCUUAUUAAGGAUUCUGGUUGGACGCAUCUUUGCAGAGAAUCCUAAUUAGUGUGACUUAAACAAAAGACGGAGGAUUGUGCCAUCUGCCUCACAUAACGAGGAUUCCUCACUAAUUAAAAACACCUAGGAGAGCAGUUAGGGAGUAAUACCUGGUUAGGUUUGGAAGGUUAGGGAGAUCUAAUGAACACGAAAAUGAGUACUGCUGCAUUAAGUUCCCCCUUUAAAACAGCAGCCAUCAUCUCUUCAGAGAAACACACACCAGUGCAUGACCAAAAUACUUCCCCUCCUCCUGUUGGGUUCUUACACAUCAGAAACAGAUGUUGGAAUAAUUCUGCUGGCUUAUUAGUUUUACCACAAAAACAUAUUUAAUGUCAUAGUUGAAAUAAUAGUGCUGUACAUUUAGUGUUGAGUGGCAAAAAAUGUUCUUACCUUUGUCAUUAUGCGGAUAAAGAAAUUAGAAAAAUUAUACAAUAUUCAAUUUUUUUGUAGAAAAAAUGCAUUACAUACAAGAUGUGCUGCUCACAAUGUUUCACAAUAAGGAGCAGCAAGCAUCACAUCCAAUAAUAAUAAAAAUAAUUAGUUCAAAGGUAAAAAAUGCACCCCCAUGCCCACUACACCCAAAUAUCUGAAAAAAAUCACAAUAUUAAACUGGUAGAGGCCAAUAUUAGCUUAGUUUCAACUCAAUAUUGCUCAAUAUCAGCAUUUAAUAGUACCAUUAGUUUAAUGUCAGACAAUAUAGGCCUAAAAUCAGACAACAGCCAUUAUAAGAUUGAUAUCAGCUAUCAUUAGCCUUAUGCUGGUCUGAUAUAGGCAAACAUCAGCUUGAUAUUAACUGAUAUCACCUCACUUAUAAUUUCAGCCCAGUACCGACCAAUAUCAGAGCAAUAUCAACUGAUAUAAAUGAACAAAGAAAAUUUUAGCUUGAGACAGACCAAUAUUAGCCAAUACCAUGUAAUGUAUGCAUGUCAUCAGCCCAAUAAUAGCCAGUGUUAGACUGAUAACAUCCAAUACAAAUCAGAUAUAGUCUGAUGCUAGCCUGAUCUUGGUCAGAAUCAGAAAAAUAGGCAAACAUGAGCUUGAUAUAAAAUUAUAUCACCCAACCAUUGGGUAAUUUCAAUUAAGGACAUUGGUCUUUUAUUGAAAUUACCCUUUUAUCUCCAUUGUCCUAGCCCAAUACCAGCCCAUGCAAGCCACUAUCAGCCCAACAUUACCAUGAUAUAGGCCAGCUGAUGUCUCUGUGUGUCUAAUCAUCAAAUAAAAAUACAUAUCUCCAACUGGUCCAAAACUCAGCUGCCCACAUCAUUACAAAGACCCCCACACAUCACCACAUCACCCCCGUCCUCCAGCACCUCCACUGGCUCCCCAUCAAAGACCGGAUCAUCCACAAACUCGUCCUGUUCGCAUACAUGGCCAUCCAUAACCCAUGUAUCCGGUCCUCCUCCUCCAUCCACCUCUCUGUCCCCCCUGCCUGCCUCAGUACAAUGGGGGGCAGAGCCUUCAGUCACUCUGCCCCCCAGCUCUGGAACUCACUACCACCCGAUCUCAGAAACACUGACUCCUUUCUCUCUUUCAAAACACUACUCAAAACCCACCUGUUUCGCUCCGCAUACUCCCUGUAGCUGUUUUAUCCAUUCCCUGUGUCGAUUUUUAUCUGUUUAAAUUGCUUAUUGUUUUAUUUAUUGUUUUAUUACGAAUGUCUUGCUUUUAAUAUUGUACAGUGACCCUGGGUGCUUUGAAGGGCGCUUUCAAAUAAAAUGUAUUAUUAUUAUUAUUAUUAUUAUUAUUAUUAUUAUUAUUAUUAUUAUUAUUAUUAUUAUAUCUAAACCCUAACCAACUAUGAUCAAAGUUAUAUGGAAGGCUGAAAUCAACUAAUAUCAGAAGAUCAUGGCCCAGCCUAUUGCUGACUCAACCUUGGUAAUUAUCAGACUUACAAUGCUACUAUCAGCUUGAUAUAAGUGAAUACAAGACAAAAAUCAUAUUGUAAAAGCCAAUAUUAGACCAAUAUUAGCCAAUUGCCAGCCAAGUAUUGGUUAAAGGGGACCUGCCAUCAAAAUGUAAUUUUGUGUGUUUUUUGUGUCAGAUAAGGUCCAUAUUAUGUUCAUCUUAUGUUGUAAAUGUGAAAACAAACCGUUACGUCGUUUGCAUUCUGUAAAGGUUUAAAAUAAAGAACGGGUAAACCAGGCCAAUUGAAAAAGCAGGUCCCUCUGACGUCGCGCUGACCUUGCUCAUUAUUAUUCACGAGCGCGUCCUCGGUGAGCCGCGCCCACUCUCUCGUUCUCGUACUCGUUCACAGUCAACAUCACUCUCCAGAGCGAGACGCAGCUACCACUGUAUCCACUAUGGGUCUCUUCCAAACGACCGGUGCUUCCUUGGGUUCACUGCCGGGAAAAUGAACUUAAAGCUGGGCAGAAUGAAUGAGAAAACACCGCUGGAGAUCUCCGGCUUCUUCUUCAACUUCCACCUCCUCUUCGGACUCGGGGUCUAAAAUAUAUGGUUUAAUACCUGCCGUUUUUAGCCUUCAGCAUAAGGUGACCAGACGUCCACGAUUUCCGGGGACAGUCCCCGUAUUGGAUGACCUGUGCCCGGCAAAAGCUGUCCCCGAAAACAUCCCUGAUUUAAGCGUUUCAUGAAUGAGAGCAAAAAUGUUGCGUGUGGGCUCGAAGAAUGGUUAUUACCGUAGCCGAAUAGGUAGGAAGCACAAGUUAGCAGUCCUGAACAACAGUUUUUAAGGGGUUAUUACAAGGGGCAUGCGCUGCAACUAAAUAGUACCAAGAUUUUGUCUGUGAUCACGCAGCCCCUGCAGCCCCUGCACCUGCCGCCGCACCGAAUAUCCCCGGAUAUCAUUACAGACAUCUGGGCACCUUACUUUAGCACACAUUAGCAAAAUGGAUAAACCGAAAUCCGAACCUCCACUGCUGAGCCAAUCAGAGCACAGCAGGCUUCACAGCAGCGAUCCAAUCAGAGCAAAGCUCAUUACCAUAAAUGUUAAUGAGCCAAAAUCAGUUGGUUUUCCUGUAAGGUUUAUUAGGCAUACUAAAACAAACCAUCAAAUAACUUUUCAGCUAAAAUUAUGUUGCAAACAUGAUCAGAGGACAUCAAGGAUUAUGAAAAAAUGAUAAAAAUGGGUAUGAAAUUUUGAUGACAGGUCCCUUUUAAUGUCAGAGCAAUAUAGACAAAUAUCCGCCAAAAUAUGGGCAAAUAUAUUAACAAAUAUCACUUCAACAUUGGAUCAUUCCAGCCUCACAAAGGCUGAUAUCAGCUUUUUAUCUGAACUUCAUCAGCAAAACAUCUGCCAAUAGUAUCCCUAUCCUAUAGUAUGGCAAAUUAAUACAUUUCUGUGUCUAAAAGAUACUCAGACAGAAAUAACGUGACGAUAAAAAAUGCUUGAUUUAAAAACAUUUGGGUUGGGAUUGACAUGAGAGAUGCAAUAUUAUCUUACACCCACAACUCUUAAUUGAUAAGCUGCAUACCUCUCUAUGUUUCCCAAAUGCUGACUGAAUCAUGAUUAAUGUCUUAUUUAGCAAUAAUCUAUCCCCAAAAAUGAUUCAACUCUGGGAAGUAAGUGAAUUUCUGCAGGUCCUCAAUUGAAAGUUGAAACCAAAAGUGGUUCCACUCGGGAGGAUAAUUUAUUGGAGAUGAAUUUGUCACAGAGUGUUUGGUCCUCGGUGCAUGUCAGGACGAAAGGAAAAAAAAAAGGCUUGGUUACUGUCGGCAUCAACAGGGUUCAAUUUCACACCAAUUAUAGCUCCAUCUAACUGAACACAGGUGGAGGGACAAACCUGAACAUGAACAUUAAACAGGAGUAUGUGCAGCUCUCACUAUAAACUAAAUAGAUUUACACUCUGCAAUAACGAUUAAAAUAUUAUAACAGCUGUCAUAUUCAAAGGCAAUUUUCUCUGAGUUAUUUCACUCUAGUUUAAAUCGGCAGGAAAGUCUGUGUCCAGCACACACAUACACAUGUACACACACACGCAUACACACACACGCAAAUAUAUCAACCCCACCAUACACUGCUUAUGCCCUCCAGGCACAGGUUUCAUUUGAGCACAUUCAUUACCUUUUAAUUGCCUCUAAAUUGCAAUGUGACCCAUCACAUCAAUAACACUAUCUUUGUAAGAGGAGAAAUGAACCUCAGCGGGGUUACACUGUGUGUGUGUGUGUGUGUGUGUGUGUGUGUGUGUGUGUGUGUGUGUGUGUGUGUGUGUGUGUGUGUGUGUGUGUGUGAACGCAGAUAAUUCUCUAUGAUGUUUGUGUGUGUUUCGUGUGGAGCGGUGUAAUUCCUGGAGAAAAGAGGACUGUGUGUGUGUUUAUGUGUGUGUGCCGGCGCUCUGUGUCCUUAGCCGGUGGAGUCAGCGUGUUUUGAGAGGAGCAGAUAUUUCCACGAUGAAGGUGAAUCAAAAUGUGUUUCAAUUUAAUCCGCUCUGAUUACACACUGUCGUGCCCUACCUGAGCCUGCCAGCAUUGCUGAUCUCAAACACCCCCCCCCCCCUGACCUUCAGACCAAAUAUGGGCAACAUCCUGCAGGUUUAAAUCCUGAUACAAAAAGUUCUGAUUAAAACUGCAUUAACAAUAUAAUCAGGAAUCAAACAGUGUUCAGCUCAGUCUUACCUCCAGACUGCAAAAAUGUAUAUAUUCUGUACCAAGAUAGUUUUCACAGUUUGUACCUUAGCUUAGUUGAGAGAGAACAAACCAUUCUCUCAGGGAGGUGGAAUCAGGUUUUGCUGCAGGAUGCCAACCUCCCAUAAGCUGAUCUCUUACUGACAAGUUUACCUGGAUGAAGACUUCUUAGAUGAACAGCUCUCCCAAAAUGUGAAGCUUUUAAAAAGGGGCUGAGCAACAUGCCCAAAUGUUUGAAUAUUAUACUUUGUAAGUCUGCACUGAUAUUGCUCGUAAAAACGCAUCCAUGCCAUCAUUGUUUUCAGGCUCGCCACCCCCUCUUUGUCCUCAAAUGACUCCGAUUGGUCUGAUCAUCCUCUGAGAAAGCACACUAGCCAGAUGACAGACACAGAAUCUGACCAAAUCAUCUGCUCUUACAGACAUUGAUCUUCUUUCUACUUAAAAAAAGGUACCCAGUGAAGUAAAAGUUUUGCAUGUUUUACUCGUUCUAAUCAAUUAACAUCAUCAUUUUUGGCUCAUGGUAGCAUGAAAAAGAUUCCUACCUGAACUUGUCUGGUCAAUGUGGCCUAAAUUAGGUGUAAUUAACAACUUUAUUUAGUGCUUAGGCCCUUGAUACUCUAGUUAAAGUAGGACGGUUUAAAAAUACCCGGAUGCCAUGCAGCCAAAAAAAGAAGAAAAAGAAGAAAGUCAAGUAGGGCUGAAAAACUCAUUAUUUUGCCCGUGUAAUAGCAGAGCUCUUUGAGAAUCACAGUAAAGACAAGAAGUCCAGUCCAUUCAUGAAGGAACACCAUCUAAGCAUUUAAAUCUAUACAGAGCUAAAUCCCUGUGAUGGAGAAAUCAUGAACACUGUGCCACUGUGAUCUGAAAUAUCUUUUUUUUUUUUUUUUUUUCCAGUAUCCACAGGGGCAGCAAACUCCUCCUGCUGCUGCUCAAAGUUCACGGUUCCUCUAGCAUUCCAGCGAAACGAGCUCCUGCUGUGCCCCACACCAGAUGUCCCUCUGAACUCUGGCCGUGUUCUUCAUUACAGAGCUGCAGACCUGUGCUGUGAGCUGCAUACCUGCACCCUCUUUACCUCAGAGGGCUGCUGGGACCAGAAUUAAUUAAAUCCUAAUAUAGCCUUGUCUGGAGGAGGUGGCAGUCUGUGGGGUUGUUAAGAGCAAAUUAAGACCAGAGCCCCUUCCUGCAUCUGAGAAAAUGACUCUUUAACUGUGAGGUGCAAUUAAGAGGGAGGGUGGUGUUACCUGGUGGCGGUGGUCUGUGGGGAAAUCUUCAGAUCAGCUGAACUUUUCUGUUUUCACCAUGUCUGUCAGCACUCGUAUUUCAGAGUUUGAGUCUGUGGUGACAGGUGAUUGCUCAGGUGAGAUAUUAUGAGGGCUUUAAAGAUGAUGAUCCUACGACUCAACACUUUACAAACAAAAACUGCUGGAGAGAAAUGUUUAUUUCUUUUUAUUUGUUCGAAUUUUGGAAAACUGGCUCUAAGAACUUGCCAACAACUUUUAGACUGAGUCUGUCAAUCACUGUUCAGUUACAUUACACAAGUUUCUUUGUCUUUUAAUAAAGAAGGAUUCAAGUGAAACAACUAAUACCUCUUUGUCUCUGAAAGGUAGGAUGUUUCCAAGGAAUAAGACUCUCCAGACAUUCGGAGGAGCAUCUUUUAAAACACAGGGGUAAUUAGCACCACAUCUCUGCCUCUGAUACUAAUUCACACCUGAUAGGAAAAAGCAGCAGGUAUUUGUGCAGUCACUAGGAUGGCUCAUUUUAAGAUACCGGAGUUCACAAUAAAAUCAAAUUGAUAUCCAAAUGAUAAAAUUGAAGAUUUGUUUGUUUUUAAUCUCAACUAUUUGAUCAGAGCUAAUCCAGGCAGUCUAUUACUGGUCAUAAAUCAGAAUCUAGAGCCUGUCCUUUCAGUCAAAACACUUGCAACAGAAUCAGGAAACCGAGGAAAAUUUGCAGUAGGACAUAUUGUAAAUGUGCAAGCAAUCACUUAGUGUUACCAAAAAUUUGGCUUUGCCUUGUGCAAGCUCAUUAGGAAAAUGCUUAACAGGUCACUGAUAUGGUACUGCAGCCACUGCUCACAUUUUAUUAUACAGGCGACUAGGUCACAGCGGCAAUGAUGUGCAGAUUAGGCAAACCAUACCGCAGACUUUUUAGCAAACCAUACAUUGAGAGCUACAGUUUAUUUUAAAGGAGUCUGAGUACAGUUGGAGUGUUCACAUAUUGACCUUUAGAGGACUGAAAGGGAACAAUUGUUAAAACAACCAGGUGGUUGGUUGGAUACACCACUGAGACCGUUUUUGUCGUGCAAUUAUUUCAGACGUCAAUAUUUUUUUUUUGAACCCAUAUCCUGUCAAUACAAGUGUUCACAUCAGGGACAUUUUCCCGUCCUGCGAUACUGCAUUUAUUUUUCAAAUCAUGGUAGGUUUUUCCAAAGUUUCACAUACUUCUGACCAGUCAGAUUGCGUGUUCUUGCAACGUCUGAUUAACCGGUAUAUCCAACAUGGCCGACCAGCUGAUUGUUUAUGAUUGUUUACACACACAUUACAAAGAUAACGACCUGAAGGACAACUUGUGGAGAGUCAUAGCGUAGGAUUUGUGAUAUGACGAUGUUUUGUGUGCUUUAACAGUUUGUUAAACAUCUUUGUUUUAACAUUCAUCUGUGCCAACGUAAGCUAACUGUUGUUACCAUAGUUUUAUGUGCAUAUCUGGUACUGGCUCCGACUCAGUACAUGCUAUUAUGACAGACAGCCAUCUCAACACUAGUGUCUAGUCCUCUGCCUCUUCAAACUUGGAGCUAAUUGUUUCAGCAGAACUUCAAAUUGUCGAACGGACAUCAGGAAAUAGUUUCUGAAGUAACCGUGGUACAGUUUCAGCUCCUGAACCAAGCAGUGAAACUCACCAAGUUCUCUUCUUUUUUGGAAUAUUGGACCCGUGUGCCCCAUUUAUUUUUCUUUUGAGAAAGCAAAAGGAGUACCAAUUCCCCAUCACUUGAAGUUGAAGUAGACGCCAUUUUUGUCCUCUCGUUUCCACCCCGGACUCUGUAGGAUGGUAAGGGAGGGUCCCGCCCUCCUUCACCUCUGAUUGGCUAUAAGUGCUGACCGUUUGGCUUGAGCGUGUGAUGACAUUUCCAGCUUUUCUAGCCAAUCAGAGGCGAAGGAGGCAUCCCGGGAAAAGUCUUCCCCGGGAUGCGUCUUUUUCCCCUGGAAAGUCGCAAAAUCGCAUUGGGCUUGAUGUGUAUAGUCAGGCGCAUCAAAAUUCGCCUAUGAAUAUUUUGUAAUUUCGCGUUCUAUAUUCACGUCAGCCUUGGUGUGUAAGGACCUUAACUCAACAAUCGAGGAUGCAGGUUUUUGGAUCUACAUGUGAAACACAAAGAGACUGAGUCAAAGAGAUGUUGUUGAACAUCGACAAUGAACCACCAAAAUGGGGGGGAUACAGGGACUAUACAAACACUGGGUCACGAGCAUAGACUGUAUACACUGUGGACAACUUGGUUCCACCUUUCAUCACUGUACAAUUUUAAAGCCAAAUUGCUCUCGGUAUUUUCGGUAUUUUCUCCACCUCCUGGAACCACCCCUUGCACAGCAGCAUUGUAUGCUUUUGGCGGGAGAGUCGCCGAGAGUCACUGUGAUGACACUCUGCUUAAACAGCAUAUCCCCUGGGUGAGCUACGCAAUCUUUGUGUGCCCAUAGUCUGUAUAAAGUGUGAAUCAUAGAAAACAUGAACCCCCUAAUAACUUUUAAAAACGGAGCUGUACAGAAAAAAAGAGGACUUGAGCACAAACCAGUCUUACAAUAACUACAUGUCAACAUUGCAACCAAGGAGGAGAAAAAUGUUUAUUCUGUGUAAUUAAUUUCUAAAGUUUGUCCACAGCUCUAAAGGGAUUGCUGUUUGUCGUGGAGGCGUCACCCAGUGAGGAGGCAGACGGCGUCUAUUCUAUAUUCAGCCUAUGGUAACGAGCAACGAGAAACAGGUGAGACAGUAAGACACAGGUGCAGACAAUCACAAAGGAGGGAAGACACAGGAAGUCAAAUUAAACUGGACACACAGGGAUAAGGGACUACAAAAUAAAACAGAAAACACUGAAAAUGAACCACAUUCUUAAAACUCUGAAAACACAAUGAGAACUGGAGCAUAGGCAAACUGAAAAAACACAUGAAACAGAAACACAGUGGAACUACAGACCAAAGAUGUAACAGAAAAUACAAAAGAGGGAAAAAUCAAAACCACAAGAACAAACGGUAAAUGGUAAAUAGACUAUUUAAAAAAUGGUAAGUGGAUAAUUUAUUAAUGUUUAAUCAUCAUUUAUAAAUAGCAUAUAGACCAUUAAUUGUAAGUUUUACAAUUUUAAAAACCUAACCCUAACCCUAACCAACUUUACAAAAACCAUCUAAGUAAUGAUUAUAGGUGGUUUAUAAACCACUUAUUAAUCACUCACAAAGUAUUACAAACAUCAGUUGCAACUUUACAAUAACCAUCUUUACAGUAACCAUCUAAGUAAUGUUUAUAGAUGGUAGAAAACCAAAUAUUAACCAUUUACAAAGUGCUACUGACACACAUUUAAAUCUAGAUGUUUUACAACCAAUAUUCAAACUCUAUAUUAACCUUUAAUAAAUAGUCCAUUAAUAAUCAAUGAAAAUUAUUAAUUAUGAAUCAUAAUUUCAUUGCUUGUUAAUGGUAAAGUAACUAUUAACUUGUAUUAAUAAACAAUCCAUUUGCCAUUUGUAAUUGGUCUAUAUGCUGUUUUUAAAUGAUGAUUAAAAAUUAAUAAACUAUCUAUUUACCAUUUAUAAAUUAUGGUUAUUGUAAAGUGUUACCUAACAAACCAUCAAAGCAUCAACCAAACAAAAAAAAAAAAAAAAAACAGGCAUGAGUUGAGCACAAACAACAAGACUGUCUGAGCUUUAGCAAAAUUUAAAGUUUUGUAAAUUAUUCAAUUUAAAUCAGUAUCAUCUUGAGAUUAAGACUUAGGAUCAAUUAUUUGUUUGGUAGUCCUGUUGCAAGACCCCACACUCACAACAUAAUCCCUUACUUAUGUAAAUCUCUGGGCUCUAAUAUGUUCACAGUGAAGGAGAUACUAAAAAAAUACCAUCCUGUACAGUAUGUAUGAAUAGAGUAACUAAAACCCUUCUUGGAGCAUGUAGAAUCUCUUUUAACAUGUUUGUUUUUAACAUUAGGAAAUUAACAGGGUUUCCUCAGCUUUGGGAGCUGACUUCAAGUGGACUCUAAAGGAACUUCAGUUUUGCACUUCUUAGCUUUAUUUUUCAACCCUGGAAAUUACGGUUUGGUUUCAAGGUGCAGGACCAAAAAGCCUCAGAGUCUCUGUCAGUAUCAAGAGUGUCACUAUGUUCGAAUUCUUCCCUACCCAAAUUAAUCUUCAUAUUACUUUAAUUAAACUAAAUAAAAUGAUUUUUUUUUCUCCCCUGUGGCUCUUCCCCGAAGCCAAUUAUCUAAAUAUGUUCGUAAGCAAGCCAGUUGUAAUGAAAACAUAAAAACAAAAACCGACUGGCAUGCUACUGCAGAAAGACUUCCAUCUGUUCUUUGGAGUGGAAUCAAUCGUUAUUUAACAAUCUCCAGCGUGGAUGCAGGCUGUCAAAGGUCAAAGGAGACGUUUGCACUCUGAGGGCAGGGACUUGGAGCAGGAAGUAACUCUGAGAAAGAUCACUCAGGUAGGUGGAUUUAAGGUCAAGUUCCACCAGGUAAAGUCCAAGCAUUCAGUUCUGAAUUAUGGUAACCUGUGGCACCUUUUAAUUCUGUAUAUACACUGAGGUAGGAGGCACAAGUUAAUGUGGAAAGGAAUAAAUCUGAAGAACUGAUAUGUUGAGUUUAUCUUUCGGUACUCUGACAUUUAAUUUGUUUAAAUUUUAAGAGAAAUAUGAUUAUUAUUAUGUGCACAUAAAAAGUACCACUUUGGGGUCUUCACCUUUCACCAGCAAAGGAAACCUCAGUUUACAGAUGCUGUUUUGUUUGAUUCCUGCAGUCGUGACACCUGGUCAAAGUCUAUCAUUAAACAUUUUUUGGAAAGGCAGAGGAAGGUUAGUUAUGCAAUAGGAGUCAUUUUAAAAAACAGAUGGACUGACUGAGAAAGAUGCAGAAAACUGAAAAGUUGAGUAGAAGUUCCCUCUGCAGCAGAUGGGAUGCAGGCAUGGCAAAGAUUCAGCUAAUAUUUCCUGAAUAACUGCAGCCAAAUCAACACCACAAAUGUUUGAUGCAGAGUGUAAACCACCACAGCAGCUCAAAAUGCAAAGAAAGACUGUCCAUGAGCCCAAGGCUAAUAUUUCUAACAAUUAUUUUUAACACCUGUUUCAUAAUGUUUUUCAGACCAGCUAUUUUAAAUACACAGCGGUAUUUUCAUGUCACAGAGAGUUCUAAUAGAGGCUUGUUAAAGUGUGAUUUCCACACCACAGCAUGCUUAAUAGACCUGCCCAGGCUUCACUUUUCCUUAAGUGGAAGCAGAAUUAAGACAUAAAAGUCGUGGCUGUUUCAAAUUAGGACACUUCAGGGUGCUAUAAGCCUACUCUACUCUAAGUCAGAGCCUUUAAAUCCACAUUUAGAAAUGUUACACGUCACGUGGCCCUGCAGCCAACCCAGCGACACGCAGGUUUCCUUUGGUCAUCCACACUCCCCGGUGUGCAGCAGAACCCUGCAAGUUUGUCUCAUCUCCUCUUGAAAGUCGCUUCAUGCUGUUUCUGUUUAGGAAUAUGUGAACUUUGACAAUGGUGAGCCACAUUUUAGCAAGAAGCAGAUGGUACGUGGACAAAAAUGUAUCAUAUCAAACUGCAAAGGAUGAGACGGUGUAAAAAUAGUUUGAACCAUGACGCCACCUUUUUGGUUUGUGGACAAGAUGACUUAAUCCUGAAGUUUUCUCCCCAUGAUAAAUGAUGUCAUUUCUUUAGUUUUGGCAGAAAUGACUUUUUGGGGGGUUUAGCAAACACUGAGUUAUCAAAGAUGUAUAUUUUCUGUGCCAAUAGCUAAGAUUAAUCAUAAUUUUUUUCACGAGACUUUUUUGUGAUGGUAUAUAAAUGGAGGUGACUCUUUAUGGGACCAGAGAAUUCCCCUUACUUUACAUAACUUAAUCCAUGAUAUAACAAAAACAGGUGAGUUAUAAUUCAGCCUUGUACACUUGGCAUGAGUAAAAAAGGGCCUUGGAGACCAAAACUUAUUUUGUAAAGGGCCAUAAACAUCUCAAUUUCUGCUGUAAAGUUGCACAUUUUAACAUGAGGCUCUAUGGGGAGAGACUCAUUUUCAGAGACACUCUAGUGGACACUCAGUGAACUGCAGAUGUUGGGAUUUCGGGGUCAGCCUCAUAUUUCCAUCUCAAAGGUUUGUUUGGAUUGUAGGUGCACCCUCCAAUCAGAUAAAAGUCAAACAGUGGCUCAGAUGCUUCCUCCUCAGUCAAGCCAUGUUAUGAAAAUAUAUGUAUUUUCCUCAUUUUUCUCUUAAUCCUAAAUUCAGUUUGAGAAAAAAAAGUAAAGACAACACUAAUGAGGCCUUGUUCAAUAACAAAUAUCUUACUGGUCUGUAUGCAAGAGGACUUUCACUCAACAUGUUUUCUCUGGCAAAAGAAGCACCUGUGUCACUUUAAUCAACCAUGAACAUCAAAAUGAAAAUUGCUGUUGUUAAUCAGCAAUUGUGCCAAACACCUCAACAUUUGUGAAUAUUUGUAAAUUAUCCUCUCUUUUAUUCUGCGUUUGACACAAAUGAGGUUCAAAUUCACUGAAAUGAAGGUAUUGGAAAACUACUUGCAGGGCAUAGCUUUUUGUCUGAGACAGUUGAGUUGAAGGUUUAGGUAAUCAUUGAUGUUAUUUUCCACAGCUUGAGGGAGGCAGUUAUUGUAUAUAUGUAUUGUACAUGCAUCAUUAAUCCAUGAUGGCAGGCUUCUGGUUUGUUUAUGUAUGGUUGAUCUUGUUGGGUCAAUUGCCUGUAAUCUACCUCUGUUACGUUACAAAUAAUUCAACUUGUGGGCUAGAUUUUGGAGAAACUAUAUGGCAGUGUGCUUGCUGAGCUAACAGGCUGCUAACUGGCCAACAGGCUAUUUCAUUCAGUCCAGCUGCCAAUUUGACUGUCCAGUAAAAUUUUCUAUUCAGAAAUGUCUUGCUGCCACUUCAGCAGUGUUGUUUUCAUCAUAUUUCGUCAAAUAUUUUCGUCAAUGUCAGCGUCAAAUAAGAGAAAUAUUUUCGUCAACGAGAACAAUUUCGUUGAUGAAAAUAUUUCCCUUUUCUUCCACGACGAAGACGUAACAUUGACGAGCUAAACAUAAGUCGGAGAUGACUAAAAUGUGACGAGACAAAAAUGCGUUUACGUUAACGGGGCGAGACGAAAACAACGAACAGAGUUGCAAAAUUCAGUCAGUUAAACGCUAAACAUAUAGGAGCAGCUUCAGUCCGCUCUGACAGCUCUCAUCAGCCUGCUGUGCUCCUCCAGCACACAGACACACACACACACGCAGGCGCGCGCACACACGUGCAGUUUUGUUUUCGUUGACGAUAACGUUGACAAAAAUAUUUUCGUCAACGUCAUGGUUGACGAAAACAACACUGCACUUCAGGAGGACUAUGUUCUUUAUCUUGUUUGCCUUUAUGUUGAUUGCCAAUUUUAAAUACAGUCAAAUUUAUUAGUUCUCACGUAAAAUUGGCAUCUCCCCCACUUAUCAUCCAUGAAAUUCACUUUUUUAUACAGGAGACUAGAGGUAUCAUUCAUGUCUUUUUGGCUCUAUGAACACCCUGCACAUAUGUAAGUUGAAACGAGAUAUUAAUUUCAUCUCAACUUACUUCUUCAGACGUGUCCAAACAUACAAGAUUCCUCUGUUUAGCACUGUUUUGGCAUCAUUUACUUUAUUUAUUCAAUUAAAAAGUUAAAAUACCAGCCAAAAGUCAAAGAGCAUACCCUGAACAAGAACUAGAGGAAAUGGAUCAUGUACAUGGGACGUGCUGCCAACAAACAGCUGAAUCUGUGGCGUGUGGUGUAUUUUGUGGACCCAGAGGCAGACUCAGAGACAGACACCAGUUAACAGAUGUAAUUUUAAUGUCCAAACUCAGGGAGAAAAAGGUAUGAAAGAAAGUCCGGUUGGCUGUCUGGCUGUUGUGUGGGCUGGAGACACUGUGGAGAAGCAGAGGAGAAGAAAGUGAGAAGACAUGCAAGGAAUCACAAGGAGCAAAAAGGUCACGAGCACUUCGCCAAGGAGAAGGUCAGGAGAAGCGUCUGUACCACUCAGGAGUGAAGACAAUACUCAGGCACUGAGACUGAGGUGGUCUUUACACAAGUACAAAUUUGCAAGACACCGUUGAAAUAAACUAUCAAUCAGGUGAUAUUGACACACAGAGACACGUAUUUGUCCAUGCUUCGUCUUCUUCUUCAUGCCGUUGGUGACGGUGACCUCAUAGCACCCCUCCUCCUCUACUCCCCGCCCCCCAACCCAUGUUGUCACACACACAGCAUGUAUGUAUGUAUGCGCAUGCGCAUUCUCUAUUUUUGGUGCCUUGUGGCAAUUUUACAGUGUCACCUUUAGGCCAGGCGUAUGUACUACAGGAUUUUGCAUGGAUUUUGCAUUGGAAUGUAAAUGCACUAAGCCUAUGUACAAUACGAUGUGUAAACAGCGAUACAUGUUUUGGUGCCGACGCCAAGACAACUGGCUUCUUCAAGGGGCUUGAUUGCCAAUGCAGUGCAGGUGUGGAGUCUCUCUCAGCCUCAGCGACCAGGGGGAAGGGGGAGUGCUCUGAAAGACAGUCAAGCCAGACCAAGGACACAAAGAAAACAGGAGGUUCCACCAAAAUAAAACCGGAGAUAGAGGCAUCUCACCACAGAACCAUUAAAAAGGACUUGGUCCUUGAAAUGUUCAUGCUGAUGUAAUGUUUUCUAUGUAUGCUAAAAUAAAAUUAUACAUACACUACAGGCCAAAAGUUUGGAAGCAAGAUCAGAUUCGUAUAAAAAAGAUCAUAGUUUCAUUAAUAUAAUUUACAACACAAUAAACAUGACUAUUGUGUAAAGAGUAACUUAUCAGAAGACAUUUGACUAUAAUUAUUAGGUAUUUGAGUUAUUGUUGCUUAGACUUUGCUUUCUUUAAAGUAACCUCCUCUGGCUUUAACAACAGCUUGGCAUAUACUAGGCAUUCAUUUCACAAGUCUUUUAAGGUAUGUUCCAGGGAUUGCAUUCCAAGCUUUUUAAGUUCAUUAAAAAGAGACUGCUGAUUCAUGAGACACGCUUUUCUGACUGACCGAUCCAAUUCAUCCCGCACAAGCUCAAUUGGAGAAAGGUCUGGAGACUGAGGGGGCCAAACCAUCUUUUGAAGAACACCUUCCUCUUCUUUUUUGUCUAGGUAACCUUGACAGAGCUUGGCAGAGUGCUUAGGGUCAUUGUCUUGCUGCAAAAUAAACUUAUGAGCCACAAGUCUGAGUCCAGAUGGAACAGCAUGAUACUGGAGGAUGGAGUGGUACUGUUCCUUCUUCAUGAUACCCUUUACUUCAAACAAAUCUCCUACUCCAUCACCUGCAAAACAUCCCCAUACCGUGGAACUACCACCUCUGAAUUGUGGGUGUAACACAUGGCGCUUUCAGACGUUGACCAAUUUGUCUGCGGACAUAGACUCUGCGUUUUGAACCAAAUAGUGCAAACUUGUUUUUAGUCAUCAGAAGUCCAAUUUUUGUGAGCUUUUGCCUACUCAUAUCUCUUUUUCUUGUUCUGUGGACGAAGUAGUGUUUUUUUUGCAGAUACACAACCCUUCAGACCAGCCUUUCUCAAACAUCAUUUCACGGUUGUCAGAGAUAUGGGUUUCGACCUUGUCAUGUUGAUUUCCUAUUCCUAUUAUUCACGGUGCUGUCUUUCGCCGAUCUCUCUUACUGGUGACAAUGAUAUGUUAUUCUUCUGCUUUUGUAGUAACUCUCUUUCAUCCAGGUCUUUUUCUAUCAUCAUGACUUCCAGGUUCCUCUAGUCUCUUCAAAGUGUAGUGGCCUCCUUUGUUAAACACCUUUAGGCGUUUUGCAAUUUCUCUUUCUGUGUAUCCUUCUUUUCUCAAUGUACAAAGCUGUACUUUUGUUUCUUUACUCAGUUGCUUCUUUCUAGCCAUUUUUGCGGUAGUUUGAACACAGUUGAGAUUUAUCAAGAUUUUUGUAUGCAGACUCUCAAAAGCCAAAAAGUUUAAGUGAAUAAUUUAACUGUGAUUUGUUUUUUGUUUUUGCACUGAAGUUGUGACUCUUGCAAAUAGUAGGGUCUGUUAACUUGAAAAAAUGGCCAAAUCAAUACGCGGUGGAUAAAAGCACCAAAUUUGGUACACACAUUCUUUAGGGUGUAUCUUAUCAUCUCGGAAGGGGUGCCCAAAGAUUCGGACCCAUUAAAUGCCUUUUAAAGGGUAAAAUCCAAAAUGGCCGCCAAGUUUGAACCAUAAUUCCUAUGAUGUGGUCUAAUUCUGAAAUUUUGGCUUAAUCUGCUUAUUAUAGAUUUUCAUUUAUAGCAAAUAGACCAAUAAUAAAGGAUUUGGCCAAAGCCACCCAAGAAAAAUGUGUAAAAUAUGUUUUAAAGACCUUUAAACGAGAAUAAAUUGGCUUAAAAUGUACUCUGAAAGACAUGACUUCACACAUUAAUCCUUCUGUGAGUGAUAUAUUGUUGAUGCCAGAUACAAAAUUGUUUUUUAAAAAACUUCUAGUAGGCCCUAUGAAUGAUUAUAUAUAGGUAAUAUAUUGUGACAACUUUAUAUGACCAUAGAUCCAGCACUCAUAUACUGUAUAGGCACAACUUAUUUUUAAGCCGAGACAUAGCAAGUGACUAGUGGAAUCAAAGACACUUACAUUACUGGAAAGAUACACCUGUGUUCUGUACGACAAGACAACUGACAUUGAAAAUGUCAAUGACCUAAGGAAGGACCUGUUUGCUAAGAAAUCUCUGUCAAUGGAAAACAUUCCUCCGACACAGGCUGCAUUGCUACAGCAUGCACAUCGAGCAGUUUAUCAGUCUAGGAUUUGGUUCAACAGCUUCUACAUCUCCUGACAAAUUUCGAUGGACCAAGUCAAUGAUUUGUGGAGACCGCUAUGGACACGAUUGCCAGAGGCUGCCAAAGUUUGCAGAGAACUCCUUAAGUGUGGCUGCAAAGCUGAGCCCCUCUGUUUUCGGAAUGUCGGUGCUGGGAUGCUGGAUUACCUUGUACAGAAUUAAGCCAAUGUGCUGGUAAAUGUGAAUGGGACAUGUGAGUCACUUGGCAAAAAGAUAAACAAUAAAAGACGAAAAGAGGGGAACAAGACAAAACAACAGACAGACAAACAGACAGACAGUAGCAUGCCCACUCAGGAUGGAUGGAGAUGGGUGGAGAGAUGGAGAGAUAUGAUGACAAACAGACAGACAGACAGACAGACAUGAAGAUGGAUGAAUGGCAGACAGACAUGAAGAUGGAUGGAUGGAUGGAUGGAUGGAUGGAUAGAUGGAUGAUGGACGGAUGAUGAAUGGAUGGAUCCAGCCUCAUUGGGAAACAAUUCAGAUAGAUAGAUAGAUAGAUAGAUAGAUAGAUAGAUAGAUAGAUAGAUAUGAUACAAAGAUUAGAUAGAUAGAUUAGAUACAGUAGAUUAGUAGGUAGAUGGAUGGAUGGAUGAACGAAUGAAUGAAUGAAUGCAGCCUCAAUGGGACACAAGCCAUUGUUCUACUUGUGCUGGUCCCAAACCCGGGGAAAUGCAGAGAGUUGUAAUUUAAAUAGUUUGGUAUGCAUUUAUAGGGUUUUGAAAAAUAAUGCCUGCACCGUGAGCGUCAUCUCCCUUUCUUUCUGCCCCUUCAUUUGCAUCAUCUAUCAAUUUAGUCAAUGACUCACUUCCUGUUUCAGAGUAUUAGGAUGACCCUAGGGACAUAUGUGCUAAAUAGUAUGCUUCUCUGAGAUUCAAUAGGCUAUUAGAAUCAAUUGGCAACACUUUAGACGGCCAUUUUGAAUUUCAUCAAUAAUCCACUUCCUGUUUUUGGCCACUAUAUCUAGGAUGCCUCAGGAUGACCCAAGGGUCACGUGUGCCAAACUUUAUGAUUUCUGGACAUUCUUUAUGUGUUUUUUUAGUAAACUGUCACCUGUUUAGGCGGCCAUUUUGAAUUUUGUCAAUAACUCACUUCCUGUUUGACAUUUUUUUGGGCACCCCUUCUAGGAUGUUUUGGGAUGACCUAAGGGACAUAUGUGCCAAAUUUCAUGCUUUUAUCCACCAUGUAACGAUUUUUCACCUAACAGACCCUACUAAAAUGUUUUCAACCCUAAAAAUAAAGCCCUUAUUAUCUUUUGCUGACAUAUAUUCAGCAAUGGUCUGUUAACAUCAAUGUACACUCACCGGCCACUUUAUUAGGUACACCUGUCCAACUGCUCGUUAACACUUAAUUUCUAAUCAGCCAAUCACAUGGCGGCAACUUAGUGCAUUUAGGCAUGUAGACAUGGUCAAGACAAUCUCCUGCAGUUCAAACCGAGCAUCAGUAUGGGGAAGAAAGGUGAUUUGAGUGACUUUGAACGUGGCAUGGUUGUUGGUGCCAGAAGGGCUGGUCUGAGUAUUUCAGAAACUGCUGAUCUACUGGGAUUUUCACGCACAACCAUCUCUAGGGUUUACAGAGAAUGGUCCGAAAAAGAAAAAAUAUCCAGUGAGCGGCAGUUCUGUGGGCGGAAAUGCCUUGUUGAUGCCAGAGGUCAGAGGAGAAUGGCCAGACUGGUUCGAGCUGAUAGAAAGGCAACAGUGACUCAAAUAACCACCCGUUACAACCAAGGUAGGCAGAAGAGCAUCUCUGAACGCACAGUACGUCGAACUUUGAGGCAGAUGGGCUACAGCAGCAGAAGACCACACCGGGUGCCACUCCUUUCAGCUAAGAACAGGAAACUGAGGCUACAAUUUGCACAAGCUCAUCGAAAUUGGACAAUAGAAGAUUGGAAAAACGUUGCCUGGUCUGAUGAGUCUCGAUUUCUGCUGCGACAUUCGGAUGGUAGGGUCAGAAUUUGGCGUCAACAACAUGAAAGCAUGGAUCCAUCCUGCCUUGUAUCAACGGUUCAGGCUGGUGGUGGUGGUGUCAUGGUGUGGGGAAUAUUUUCUUGGCACUCUUUGGGCCCCUUGGUACCAAUUGAGCAUCGUUGCAACGCCACAGCCUACCUGAGUAUUGUUGCUGACCAUGUCCAUCCCUUUAUGACCACAAUGUACCCAACUUCUGAUGGCUACUUUCAGCAGGAUAAUGCGCCAUGUCAUAAAGCUGGAAUCAUCUCAGACUGGUUUCUUGAACAUGACAAUGAGUUCACUGUACUCAAAUGGCCUCCACAGUCACCAGGGGCCUCAUGUAUCAACACUUGCGGCGCAAGAAAACCUUGCGUAAGCCAAAAUCGGCGCACAGGUCCAGAUUUAUCAUCGCGAAACGAGCGUCGGUUCCAGCGCUAAUCAACGCAAAGUCAGGAGGUGGUGUAGAAAUUGGCGUUGAGCCGAUACUUGCGUUGACUGUGAUUCGCACUUUGGCGACGCUGUGUGGCGGUGUUUGGUGACUCACUAUGUGACAAGCGUGCACCACAUCCCCGUGGCCGAGCAGCGCGUCGCCCCACAUGACGAACCAGCAGCAGACGGAGGGAUGCGAGCUGAUCCCUGCCGGGCCGCCGUCCUCGCGCGGGAGAAUCUCAUCGCCACAGUGUGAAUGGGUAAGAAGUGAAUACACAGUUCAAUGAGCCAAAUUAAUUUAUUUUCUCCACCAGACGCUCGAGGACAUUUACGAGCCGGUCCAGCCGCUCGUUGAUCCCCGCGACCCCCCGAUGAUUUCUUCCUGCGAUUGCAGGACCCCCUCCGCGAGGACCCUUCCACUGUGUCCGGGUGGUCCAGCAGAAGCGCCGCGGCUGGUGGACGCUCCACCGCUUGUCGGUGCGCUGAUGAUGAUGCUGGUGCUGGUGCUGGGGCCGGGGGCCGGGGUGGCCCGAAUGCCGCUGGUCCUGGCCGACGACUCCGAGCCGGCGGACGGGCUGCCGCGGGCCGGGGUUCCGCAAGCCGGCGACACGGCCGACACAUUAAUUUCUGUGACACAAUAAAAAUAUUGGUUCAUUUCAAUUCCUGCUUCUGUGUAUCUGUUGCAUUUACAUCUCUCUCCACGGUAUCAUAGGUAAUGUAAUCCAGUAUUUAGAGGUCAGUUAUGCACAUUACAGUUGUUUAUUGCAUAAAAAGUUAUCGAAAAAUGAAGUAAAGGGCGAAGAAUAAAUCACGUCUAAAAAUAGACUGAAUCCCGACGUUGAAAUGAAGUAUAAACUUAGACUAGACGUCUAAUAUACGUCUUUUGCUCAGUGGGAUGGCAAAGCAUGUGGACAUUUGUGUGACACGCCACUUACCCUAUAAUAAUAAUCGCAACCACCCGCUGCUCAAACGGCGUGAGGGUCUCCUCCCCCGGAACCCCACCUGUCUGGCCGGUACUCCUCCAGAGGGUAGCUGUACGCCGCUUGACCUCCACCUUGAGGUCCGACCACUUUAUUUUAAUCUCCGCGGGGGUGCGUGUCUCGCAACCCACCGCAUUCACCCUCUCGCAAACUUUCUCCCACUCCAAGCGUUUUUGUUUUGCACUGACGCCACUGGACAGGCUGCCAAACAAAACAGGCUGUCGCUCCUCCACCUCCUACACCAGCACCUCCACCUCACACGCCGUAAAUUUAGUUUUUCUUGUCAUUUUGUCUGCGUGCGAGGACAGGGAGACCCGAUUUAAAUAAAUCUGCAUAUUUAUAGAAGGGCGUAACGGGGGCUGGCCCAGUCACUCCGACAUCUGCGCUCAAUUCCACGCUGAUUGGGAUUUAUCAAGGAAACACACGUGGAUUUCGGCGCCCGCACACAUUGAUACAUACGGAUUUUUUUCAGCGUGACGGACCUUGCGUGCGCUCGUUUCUGGUAUGAGUUCCACGCAAGUAUUGAUACAUGAGGCCCCAGAUCUCAAUCCAAUAGAGCAUCUUUGGGAUGUGGUGGAACGGGAGAUUCGCAUCAUGGAUG